ACACGAAGAAGAGUUGCGUUGUUUACAUUUGCUCUUAUGGAAAUGCCUGCCUAACCCAUUUUCAAAUGACAGGUAUUUUGUGGCCAGAGUGAAAGAAAUUGAUAUGAUUAGUAACUAAGUUGCUAGUGAUGAUAGUGUGGAGGAAUAGCAUGAUGAAGCACAACAAAACAUGGCAUAGCAGAGGAGCAGUACAAAGAAAAAGAAAACUUAAACACAGACCUGGGAGCCAUGCUGAUCACAGAUAACUAAUCUGGGCACAGGGAAGCGGUCUCUGAUGAUCACCCGGGCAUCAUCUUGAGGAGCUUGUAACAGCUGAGCAAAAGCCUGUUGGUCACAAGAAAUAGAAAAGGAAAACAUACAUUAUUUUUAUGUAAAAAAAGGUUCACCACAUUACAUAACUUUAUGGAGUCGGCAAGGCAAAUGGAUUUUAAAAAUAUUAUUUUUUAUUUUUUGCAUUAUUUGCUCUGGCUUGUGUUCUUUUAUAUUAAAAUUACCCACUACAUGCUGUAUGUAUGCUUUUACCAAGCAUGCAGGAUAUGUCUCGAUGUUAUGAGCCAACUACUAUAGCUUAUCUUAAGUUUAAGCUGUGUUGAAACACUGAGAUAAGCACCAUUCAGCAAAAAAGUGAAACAUGGAUGAGAAGCGGUACACAAAAUUAUGAAAAUAAACCAUAAGUUGAUUGAUCAUGUAAAUGGGGGAAGAAUGUAUCAGGAGAUAAAUAAUAUUAUAUAGGUAGAAGAUGUGUGAGUAUGAAGAUGCCUCUUUAUAAUCUAAGAUAAGCUGUAAAUGUUGCUUUCUUAAAGGAGUUCUAAGAGUAAAUUUAAAUGGCUUCUUUAUACCAAAGAAAUUGCCCACCAAGCAGGAUGAAUCAUAAAUAAGAACUACUUUACUAAAUCAGAAAGAUGAAGCAUUUGGAUGUGAACCAAACUGGAAUAGGGAGAAUAAGAAAUUUAUUACAUCAGGAGGAUGACUACAAAACCUGGUUAUAGAUCAGUGUCAUGGAAGAUGAGAUUUCUACUAAUCUGACAACUCAGGCAAUCUUUUGCUCCUAAUGUGGAAAAGAGCUCUUCAAGAAAAAAAGAAAGAGUCUGAUACUACCAAAACAUAUUGAAGUCUAAAAACUUAAAUGGUGAUGACCAAGUCACCAUAAUGAAAAAUCAUUAAAUGGUUGAUAAAGCUGAUGUACAAUCUCUCUCGAAAAAUCAUUAAAUGGUUGAUAAAGCUGAUGUACAAUCUCUCUCUCUCUCUCUCUCUCUCUCUCUCUCUCUCUGAGAUUUAGCAUUAUUGAAGAAGACCUAUAAAUUAAUAGAAAAAAGAGUAGGCAAUGGGGAUGGCAUAGUUGGUCAUUAGCACUUCAGAAUCUACAAGAUGUUGGCAGUACUCAGCACAUUUUAUGAUUUGUUAUGUCCAUAAAGAAAGGAAAAAAGACUUCAGUUUUGCAGAAGCUACGGCAGAAUGGAAGUAAUUGUGGACGGGUAAUAAAGAGUGACAUAAGCUAAAAAAUGCAGUAUUGCUUUUUUAUGACUAAAGCAGUUCCACUUUCUGACAAUGCAGUCCCAGCCGUAAGGUGACUCUUUCUACGAGAGGUAAAUCUUGCUGAGAGAUAUAAAGUUCAAUACAAGAUUAGAUAUUCACUGAAAAAUAACAUGCACUCUAGAACUUUAUCUUCUAAGAUAGAUUCUGGGUAUAUUCUUUAUUGAAUAUUCAUAGAAGAGCAUAUACUCUCUAGGACUUUGUCUUCUAAGAUAGAUUCUAAAUAUAUUCUUUAGUUUGAUUCUCAGUUGGUGUGGAAGAUCAUAAAAGGUCCAUUGUGUUUUAUUUACUUAUUUUUUCAGGUGUUCCUCUUAAAAUAAUUUAACUUCCAAAUACAGAGAAGUUCAACUUGAAUUGUAAGUAUAUGUAGACAUAUAAAAACAACAUGAUUUUGUAAUUAAACUGGCUGUUAUGAUUAACGAUUAUAAUGACCAGAGUAGUAAGAAAUAAAAUUAUCAUUAAGUCACCUGAUGCUCAGGCUGAAUCUGGUAACCCAUGUUGCGCCAUUGAGCAAUGGUCAUACCGUGGAAGAUAACAACACUAAAAUAGGCAUCUAGCAAUAAUAUACGAUCUGAAGAUAUAGACGCAACAUCUAAUAAUGCAGGAACAGGAGGGGAGUUAAAAGAAUAUGAAAGAAGUGAAGGUUGUAUCAUGACAACAGAAUUGGUGAUGCUCUCCCGAUUCAACAACAUACGGAAAUAAGCAGUUUCAUCAGGGCUGUUGUUGAAAACCUGAAGGAAGAACAUAAACAAAAUUUAGAUGCACCAACAUAAAAGUUUACAUAUUACAAAUUUCAGCAUUCACCAAUUUUAAAAUUCUUGGUAAUAAUCCAAGAAAGCACCUGUACAAACUGUGAGCGCCUCAGGUUGAACAUAAACUGUGGGAGUAUUGAAAAAUUUGGAUUUAAUGUAAAUGAAGCAGGAUCAUCUUUUCGGUAAUCACCAAAUCUGGAGCAAAGGCGGAUUAGUGAUCUAUCCAACCAUCGAGUUGCAUCAAAUUCUUCCUGAAAAUUAAACAGAUACCAUAAUGUUACAAAGUAAACCAAGACUUGAUACAUAAUAUCUAAUGUUUUGAUGUUCACUGGUCAUUGAACAUAUGAAAGAGAGCCUAUUCAUUCGUACAAGGUCAAACUUCUAAAAUCUGCCAAAAAUAUAAAAAGGUCAAGAUACAAUAAGAAUACUUACAAGUAGCAGAAUGCAAACAUGCUACACAAAAGGCAAUAUACUAAAAGAUGGUAAAUACUUUUUUAGGCAUAUUAGUGUGUUCAGAGAAUUAUUAAAUAUAAACAUAACUAUAUAUCAGCUUAUAAUCUGUACCAAGUCACAACAAAGGGUAAAACUGUAAAAGACUAAAUCAAGACUCUUGUCGGAGAGCUUUUCGAUGCAAAUAUGUAGCUUAGCUUACCUCCAUCUCCAUUUUCAAGGAGACGUAUCUUGCCAAAACAACAGCUGCAGUUUCCUGAUCAAAUCCUUCAAUCAGUUCCUGUAUCACAGUGUCCAAAAAUAAGUCAACAAGUCAUUAUUGUUCUGAUAAAAUGCAAAAUGAAACUUAAAACAUAUAGCUAUUUUAUGACAAAGCUGCAUGCUAAAGUGGCAUAAUCUAACAACAAUUGGAUUAUAAACUAAUUAGGCAGUAGGAACCACACAUGUUACCUAUUCUUAGCGAUUAUUGAUAACUUUAUGACCAACCCAUACUAAUAAAUGCACAUUUAUUUCUAACUUACAUGUUGAUCCAUAUCACAAUUGACAACACCAAAUAAAGACUUGCUGUCACUUCUCCCGUUACAGAAUUUUAAUCCAACGUCGACUGAUUCACCAGCACUUGAGAAAUGAGGACCAGUGAAGAAACAAAAUAAGAUGCGCAAAAUAGCAAAUAAACUAAAUCCUCAUAAGCCAAAGCAGUAAAAAAAAAAAACCAGUUUGCAAAAAGUUGUAUCCCAUAUACUAAGAAAUGUUAAAUAAGAAAGGUGAAAAGACAAGCUAGGUUUCAUCAUCUUAUGAGCAAGAUAGAUACCACAACUUCACAGUAUGUAUUUACUUUGUCUCCCAUAUACUAUAUUACGCUACAUGGAUAUCUCAGACAUUGGACUUGGCUCAGAUACAAUCAGACCAGGCUUGGAAUUGGGACACAAGUUCCAGGUAUCACGACCUAUAAUGACUAGAAGACUGGUUUAAGACACCACGCGCAGGAAUUUUCUGCAACAAGAAAAUCUAAUCGGAUAUCUCAAGUCCAACAGAUUAACAUUUAAUGUUCACCAGAAUAACAUCAUCUAAUGUCAGAAUGCUCGUCUUAAUAAAUGCCUCCUCUUAUCUCACUGUAUUAUACCUGAUGCAAAAAAUCGAAAGGACAGACACGAUUAUCCAGACUCUGUAAACAGUCAUGUUAAUUCACAUGUCAGACUGUCAGUAUCUAAUUUUAACUUAUAACAUGGCUAGCAUCAUUAGAUAUGUUAUGUUUAAUUGACUUAAAAAUUUGCAAAGAAAUGACCACAUGUAUUGUCAGUGGGCACUCUCAGUGCUACUGUAUACAAUAUUGGUUGGUAACACAAUCAACACACAUGGCAUUUGUCACAACUCACAACUGCCAAGUUCGGACAUAAUUCAUUGAACAGCGGAUAUCGCUCCAUUUGGACCACCAGGCAUUAUUUAUCUACAUCAUCCAUAUCUUCAUCUUUCAUGAUAAUACAAACCAAAUCAAACAAAUCACGAUGAUAAGUAAAGCAGAAUGGAAUACUCCAGUCAAACAUCAAUUAGUUGCUAAUUAGGACAGAAGUAUACAAGACAAUCAAAUGUCAAUCAUUAACUAAUCAAGUUCUUGCAAUACAUCCGAAAAACCCCCAACAAUUAAUAAUUUUCUCAUCUGUAAUCAAACAUAACAUAGAACAGAAUAUUCCUAACUAACCUCUGCAUUGGAACCAUCCACCCAUCUUCUAGUGAUGGUUGUAACCCGUAACCUCAUUUGACCUUCAGGACCCUGAUAACUACAUACAAGUGACAUCAUGUAACUGAUUAGUUAGGCCCACUAUGAAGUGAUGAAUAAAGCAAAAUGACAAGGUAUCAUACUUUGUUAAGAAUUGUAUAUAUAAUUGUGGAUUUGGAAUUCCAGAUUGGUUUGACCGUUCGCUUGGUACGAUUUCAAAGAAUACAGUCAAACAAGUAGUCCUAUCAAGACCACACAUCUUCCACGAAGUGGUAUUUCCUUGGCCUACGACAACAUCAGCACAAAGAGUUCCCUUCUGCAAAUGUUAAAUAAGACAGCAGUCCACUUCAGACAAAUUCAAAUUUCAAAUUUUUGGGACAGAAAAAAACCAUUUCAAUAUGUAUCUUAUGUCAAUCAGUAAAAUUAGGAUUUAAGACAACCUUCUCUAAAGAUGUACAUGGCCCAAUAAUUCCCUCAAUUCUGAUAUCCUUUGAACAGUUGAUCUCAAGUGUCCCACUGGAACAAAAUAAUAAUAAUGAGAAUUAUUGUCUUCAAAAGAAAGCAGUACUAACAAAAUAAAAGACAAUAAAAGUGAUCUAGAUCAUCACAGAUCCGACAAAGAUCGGCAUAGACCCACCCAAGAAGUUUUUUAUAAUACACGUAUCAUAUCUUGUAAUGUGCUAAUUUCUUACAUUCUUAAAGUUUUUUACAUGUGUUUUUCAUAAAUGACUUGCAAGAGAUCCUAAAAACAUUUUUUGUUUCAUUAUUGAGACAAAACACACACAAAAAAGAGUUCAAUCAGGGUUUUAGAUGUCUGAAACACAAUGCCAGGAAAAUAUUUGUGUGGUCAACCUUAGAUAGUUGGAACAUUAUGGUUUGCUUGUUGUUGUUGUAGGGAUUCAAAAUUGGAACCUGCCAAUUAGGCCACCCCCAACCGGUAAGGGUCCAUACAAACAAGGUGUGGUUUGAUACUCGAUUACUUGUAUCAUACCAAUCUGACAUACAGCUAUUAUCAGUACAGGACUGAGAAUUUAGACCUUGGUUCUAGGUUCUGUUGAUAAAAAAUACUAAAGGAGUAUAAUUUGGAAUAGAUGGCAAAAGAAAUAUGCCAAUCUUAUAUGCAACUGGCGGUUUUCCACUUAUAAAAAAAAGAGACAAAGUUGUCAUAAGGUUAAAAAUGGAUGAUCACAUUGACCGGUUUCUUUUACUUCAACAUCUAUCAAUAGCUAUGCAUGAACAUUUCAGCUGAUAGAUAGAAACAACAAUGUGAUCGAUGUUUCUUUGAGAAGUCAAAACCAUCACAAAGUCAACUAUGAUGCCUAAAGGAUUUGAGUUUUGGUUAAAAGCCUGUAGGAUCACAUUAUGUUCAAUAAUCUUGAUCAGAACAAAUUGGAUUCUCGAGAAUUCUCCAGUUGUUUCUGGAGCUUGUUGUAGCUCCCACGAUGUUCUGGCAUUGAAUUUGAUGUCAAUCAUUUCAUAGCACAUACGUUUCAAAUCAAUUUCUUUUAUAGAGCUAUUUCAAGUUUUGCUAUUUACAUACAGAGCAAGAAAAUUACUUAAAAGAAAGACCAAGAGACUGUUGGCCAUUUUCAAAAAUGCGUUUGAAGGAGUCUUUAAAAACUGGGUGCCCGAAACUUUCAGCAAGAACAACAAGUCCACCUGUUCUUUCAACUGAUACUUUCAUCUCUGCAACCCCAACCUGAAUUUACAUGCAAAAGGAGAAAUGACAACAAUUAUUGAAUUAAAUGAAAACAAACUUUGAUGAGUUAGUUAAAUCAACACAUGGCAAAUCCACAGCAGUAACAUUCUGACAAUAGAAAGAUAAAAUUAAUGACAAUAACAGCAUAUUUCCCUUUUUUAGCAAUAAGAAAAUUACAAUCAUAGAAGCUUCCUAAGGUAAGGCAAAACAUUAGUGUUUAGGCUGUAAAACAUUAACCUGAAAGUGAUGCAACACCAUCCACUCCACCAAAACACAUUAAAAAAAAGGAAAAUGAAAGGGAACAAUAUUAUAAAAACACAACAGUUUUUUACAUGUCAAUUUCUGCAAGGUACUUUGCAAAGGAUUUGUCUGCAAAACAGCUCACUGACAAAUGUCCACAGGUUGUUAUAUAGUAAAAGAGCUGCUUUUAAAGUUGUGGUAAGCUAUGAAAAUAUGAUAGGAAUUUAGUAAGGGUAUCAUAAAAAUAAUAUGGGCAAAAAGCAGGGUUAUCUUGUUGCAUUCACAUGCACGGUGCAUCUUUGAAGAUGUCCAAUGCCAAGUACCACACAAUUGCCAUUAAUAGCAAUUAAAAUAGUUCGUAUAGGCACUUUUAAAUACUACUAAUUACUAACAUGAAAUUAUUGCAUAAAAAUAACGUAUGAUAAAAUUACAAUCAGUGCAAUAGCAAAUUCUUCAAACAAGGAUCCUCUAUAAAUUCAUACACAUACUGGUCAAUUGUUUAACAACCUUAAAGCAUGUCACGAUAAUCAAAUUAUCAUACCACUAGCAUGUCCAAUAUUCAGAGAAACCAUGUAAAGCAUAGUGAAAUCUCCCAAAUAAUCACAGAGAAAAUUCUUAAUACAAUGAAAUGUGACUGAAACCUGAUCAAGUGCAGAAGCAAAUAGGUCCAAUACAUGGCCCUGGCUAACUAGCUGCUUGGCCAAAUUUUCAUAAAAUUUAACAGCUUUGUGGAAAUGUGGAGCAGCAUCUUUAUCAAGAUCUUUAUGAGAGCGAACUGGUUCUGACAAAUCUUUUGAGACAAUCUGCAAAUCACAAAUAAAGUGGAGACAAGAAGAAUAAACUGAAUAUUAAUAAGGAAAACAACUUGAGAAUGUAAAUGAUGUAACAGAAAUUUUGAAGAAAAACAGAAAAACCGAUUGUUAAUAUCUUCACAGCUAAAGUUGUCUAAGAUGCUCUCAGUUAUCAUGAUUUCUUACUGCUUUUGUAAGCAGACUUCAGCUAUGGGCCUUCAUUGAAAGAAAUUAACUGUAGAUUUGCUUAUUAAGAAAGUAUCCAAGUAAAGACUUCGAUUGACAUAUGCAGUUUGUACUAGUUAAUUCAUGAUGUAAGUCACAGCCUAACAAUCAUAGAACACUCAACCCAAUAUCAUUGUAGUCUUUGAUUAAAAAGGCUUCUCUUAGCAAAUGUUAGAAAAAAGAUUAUGGAUCAGACUUUCCAUCCCAAAAGUCAAAAAUGGCCAUACUUUGUAAUGGUACAUAAUCAUAGAACAUAAAUAAAAAUGCCUAAAGGCAGAUCAAGUCCGCUCAGCUUUCAGAAUUCUAUUCCAAGAAACAAUAGUCAAGUUACAAAUAAACCUAGAAAGCACAACUAAAAUCAAAACACAAAAAUAAUUCUUGAAGAAUUGAACCAAAUAAAAUUUAUUAAUACUUUAUGGAUCUGAGUAUUCAGUAUUGGAUGGUACAAAAAAAGUAUAAAAUGUUUGUGUCAAUGAAAUGAGAAUGCUGAGAUUGAUGUGUAAAGUUACUAAGAAAGAGAAAAAUCAAACAUAGCUCUAUCUAAAUGGGAAAUAAUAAGUUAAAAUGAUAUGAACACAUGUUUUAAAUGAAUUAAAAAGUAUUAUAGUUUGAAGAUGUGAGAUAAUUAGCAUCAAUGAUGUGAGAAAUUGUAGAUGAAAACUCAUGAAUAUCUUAUUAGAAACUAUAAAAGGUUUAAAUUUUCUCCAUUAUUUUGUCCAGAGCUCAAUAGUGAAAAAGCGUAGUCCGCCAUAGAUAGUUGGGAAUUUACGACUGGCUGUUGUUGUUAUUGCAAGGAUCACCUAGCAUCUAGAUCCAGCCCAUGUUAGCUGAAGCAAUGGAUGGAGAUAACAACAGACAGACAAUUAAAUUUAUCAUAUGUAAGUGAAAUCUUUCUCCCAACAAAGGUUCAGGAAAGAGUAUGUUUGGACAAACCCACAAAUCCAAUGACUAAGUUAUUUGCUUAUUUGGUUUUCACUGUCACAUUUAACCAAGGCUUCAAAUACUGGCUGGUAUGAUAUACACGGACCAGUAUUUAUUAGUCCAACUAGAAUUGGAUUCAAUACCAGUUGGUAUUAUUAUUUAUUUUUCAGCUGGCAUUUGGUGGUCUGGGUGAGUAUGCUGCAAGGUACACCCAUACUGUACCCAAUCCAAGAGCCUACCGAAAUUGGUAUUGGAUGGACAUCUAAAAACUUGCAUUUAACAGAAACUCAAAUAUGCAGACACCGAAUUAAUAUGGGUCAUAAAUUCAAAUGUUUCAUUUCAAGCAAACUAAUUACUAAAUCCCAGAACAAGAUUUGAAAACGAAGAUGCACCAAAUAAAGCAGGCAUCUUUACCAUUCCAGGGCCCUGCGUACAUGGUCCACCAACCAAAGCUAUGAUGCGAGCCCCAGUACCAGGCACGCAUGCUCCCAGUAAGCCAGCGGCAACACUUAGGGCAACCCCCGUGCAACGAAGAGCACGGCUCCCUGCUUCAACUGGCCACUGAUCUGUCUGCAGCUCGUCCAGCAACUGCAACAGAACAAAAACAAUUUUUAGCUCUAAGAGGGGAAAAAAGGUGGUCGAUCAACUAAUUCGAGGAAUAGAUUAAAAAUCUCACCGAACUGAGAGCGUAUUCACAAUCUGCAGCCGGAAGCAGGAAUCUAUGAACCGAUCCAGACGGAUGAAACCCAUUGGUCUGCGGCGCCUUGGUAUACCCUGGCAUUCCAACGGCGGCACCAUGCCGGACACUCGAAGCAGAGAGCCCGAGCUGAUCCAAGAUAUGGUCUUUCGAGAUUUCCUUGAUCCCCCUGAACACGUAGAUCUUGGACACAUCCGCGAACCCUAGCUCGUAUAGAUGGACCUGGGUGCCGAAGGUGAGCAGCCCAACGAGGGCGUUAUCCGGGAGCAGGCCGAUGGCCCGGCGCAUCGCGGACUUGAGGAAUCCUAGCUCCUCCUCGAUGAGGCAGGUGUCGAUGACGAAGAGGAAGACGGGGGGCGGCGGCGGGGCAGACGAUGGAGCGGAGUGGUGGUCGAGGGGCGGUGGGGCGUAUUCGACGGUUGUGCACUGGGGGUAGAGCUCGCCGGGGACAUUGGCCUCGCUGAUGCCGGCGUAGUGCGGGGGGAAGUGGUUGCGUGAGAAGCAGAGAGGGCAGAUCCAGAUCUUGGCGGCGAAGUCGACGCGGGCGAAGGGGCUGAGGACGGCGGAGCAGGGGGGCUUGCAGCGGAGGGGCUGGUAGGGGAGGACGAGAACGGAGGGGGAGGCGCGGAUCGGGGUGAUGGAGGCAGCAACGGGGAUGACGCACUUGCUCGCCUCGAUCUUGGAACGGGGCCAAUUGUUCCAGCUCAUACGGACGCCGUCGGGACCGUCGGGGUCCGAGGUGGCGCCACCCGUUCCGACUAGUUCCUCCGCCAUGCAGACGGCGGUGGUGGCGGCAGCGUAAGCGGAGCAGCAAAGGAAUGCUCGCCGGUGGCAGUUACGAAUGGGAAACUUGGGGUGGGUCGGCGAAAUGGGGGACGGACGCAGCGGUCAAGUAUUUAUGUCUUCGUUUAUUGUCCGGUGCGUUGAGAGAGUCCGACGUGGUCGGACUCUUUAAAUUCUACUAUAAUUAACUGCACAAACGGGUCGGGUUUUGUCAUGCGGGAUUGUUUUAAUUAUACUAUAAUUCAUUGCACAAACGGGUCGGGUUUUGUCAUGCGGGUCCAAACUAUGACCGGCCCGUUAAAUACGGAUUUGGGCUUCAACGUGGCUGCGUCGCCUUCUCGUUACGCCUCUUUGGUCACUCUCACCGUCUCUCGUCGGAGGAGAGGAGCGCCGUGGAAUCGAUGCGAUUCGAUGGGUCUCCCACCUCCUUUUCGAAGGGGGAAAAAUGGCCGCGGAGGUAGACGGUUUUCCUCCGAUCUGAGCCGCCAAAUUACGGCAGCAUUGCCGUCCAGGUCCCGCCUUCUCUCUUUACUGUUCCGCAUCCAUAAUCAAGUGGGUGACUUAUUUUCUUAGUGUCAUUACGGAAAUUGCAGAUUUCUGUGACGAUCUGUAGAUUGCGCUGGUAGAAGGCCGUUCGAGUGUUUUCUUAAAUGCUUAAAGGCGACCGUCGAACAUAUAGUGAGGAUGCCAUUAUUAGAUUUUGCUUAGAGCUGGUGAUACUGUUGGUGUGAGAUUUUCAGAAAGGUGCCUGUUUGGAUGAUAAAACAAACAUUUUGGAUUUUUUUUUCUUCGGUAUCAAUACUUUCUAAAUCUGGAUUGUGGAAUAGGGUCUGUAUCUCUCUUGGUUCGUAUUUACCAUUGAACGCAGUGCUCCCGUAGUAAUAACAUUGAGUUCAGGUGUUCUGAUAAUUUUUGCUCUCUUGCUCGUUUUCUUGGCCAUUUAGACUAGUUACAUUGAUUGGACUAAAUUGUUGGACGAUUUUUAUUUCCAUAUGAUAUCUCUAAUGCACAUCCCUGUAAAGAUCCAUUGUUGCUAGUCGCAAUAGAAAUUGGUUGUUGUUAGGGUUGGCAGAGAUUUUUUUAGGUCCUAAUAGAAUUUAAAUUACUUGGAGAUAAGAUAGAAAUUUAAGUAUGAAAAGAAUUCCUUGGGAAUUAGGGUUUAGUUGCUUUAAAUGAGGAGGUAUUGAGGAAAAGCACAUGUUCCUAAGAUGUUUAUAUUAUUGGUAUUCAUAUGAGUGGCUGUACAAGAGUUUUGAGUUUGAGUUUGGAUUAACUCUUUGAGAGAUGGAUUAUCUCUGUGAGAGAGUCUUGUAACGUAUAUAGAGGUAGUUUUUUCUUCGGAUGAUUUUUAAAUGUAUUAAGUAUCUGAUUUAUCCAAUGCGCAGCUAAAUCUGCUGCUCUGUUAAAAUUCCUUUGUAAAUACUUAUGUUGUCCUUUAAGCAAACCUUAGUUUGCUUCAAGAAAAAUUGAUGCAGCUGCAGCAAGCUUUAUGCAUAAUAAGAGUUUUGGGAUUGCAAGCAAGGUUCCAGUUGUUCUCCAAUGAAAGUUUCUUGUUUCUUUUGAAAGCCUUCUGCCAAGAUGAAUGCAGUAGCUGCUCAUGGAGUAUAUUCAUCACACCCCCUGAUUGAAGAUACUCCAACCUCUAUAUGGUACUAAUUGUAGAGACAUGACAAUGUAAGCUGAUUUAAUGCAAAUAUUUCAACCUGUUGAUGGUCAACCAUGCUCCUAUAUCUAAGCAUGUGAAAGAACUUAAUUCACGUAAACCUAGAAAUGAACAGGAGUUUCAUGGUGAGAGGUCAUGAAAUAGGAGACCUCUAGAUUUUGUGGCCCAGCAGAAAACCUGCAUCCUUUUCUCUGCAGAGUUACUUAAGUAGGUUGCAUUUGGUAUGGAUCUCUAAGGGACCAUUCAUGACCCCUUUGCUGGUUCAGGAAAUUACUGUCUUCGGGAUGGAUUAUUGACCAUUAUAGAGGAGACUUAUGUACAUCCAUGGAGGUAAUAUCUGUCUAAAAGAAAUGUAUAAAAUGUAAGUUUCGAUGACCUAAACAGGACUUGGGAUUAAAAGGAUCUAGUCAUGACUGGAUAAUUAGCCUUUAACUUAACUUUGUUGAGCUUGAACUUAAUAUCUAAAAGUUAAUAGUAAUACACCUAUCGGACCUUUAUAAGUCAGUCUUAUUUGUAGCUCACUUCCGAUGACUAUCUUAUCAUUUGAAUUUUUUGUGGAUAAGUUAACAUUAUACUAAUGAACUUGCAAUUUGUUAUUUUUUGUUUAGCUUUUGUAUUAAUUGGGACUUAUCUUAUUUUUAUGCAGUCUUAGAAAGAGGUACUCGGCUUGAAGGUGAAAGCUUAAGGGUUAAGUCAAAAGGUGGAGGACUGAUGAAUCUAGUAAAGAUUGAUUACUUUGAAUCUGCCAGGUACAUGAUUGGUGGAGCUUUUACCACGGGAAAAUGAUGAUCCAGACCUUCCUAGAAGAUGAUGAGCUCCGAAACUUUCAUAAUGUUAAGCAAGUCUGAGAUCGAAUGCUCAUCCGACAACUUUACAAUUGGAUGCUUGAGAUGCUAAAGUUAAUAAAGUCCUUUAAUUUGCAACUCAAGAAAUUGGGAUAGAUUGAUGGCAUAUUUGGAAUCAUGUUUUGUUGGUUUUGAUAGAUGAUGAGUGUUUCACUUUAAAUCUGUGGAGCUAUAUCAAGUAUGUUGUUGGCACCUAUUUUAGAAUUGUUUGCAAGCAAAUGUCAUUUGCAUUCCUGUGUGCUCAGCUUCCACCGGCAUAAGAUGUUAUACUUUACUCCAUUUUAUCCCACCUGGACAUAUAUGUGUAUUUCGAUUUUGUUCAUGUUUUGCACAAAAUGUAGAAAGCUUGCAAUAGGCUUGGCAGUCCCAUUUUGGUUGGUUUAUGUAAUCAUUUCAGUCUUGUAAACGUUGGUUAUGUGUAAUCGUCACUUAUAAGCAAAACUGUUCAGAAAUAUAUCAUCUAAGCAGUCAUUUUGAGGGGUUUUUUAGCUCCAUAAAGUGAUGCAAAGUAUCAACCAGUAUAAUAUCGAGAAGCUACAUGGGUGAAGCAAUCAACUAAGUUCAUGAGAAAUGAUAUUGGAGCAGAACAAAUACAUUUAUAAACACUUGGCAUGCAAACAUGGGGGAUGUGUUGAGGGCAGCCAACACGCGUGAUCGUUUGAGGGAAAUUAGCAUAAAAAUAUAAGGAAAUAAGUCGUUAAGAUGAGUGGGCAUUCAAGAGUGACUAGAGGAAAAAUCACAAUGUAAGCUAAAGGAACUUGGUGUUGAGCGCGACAACAAGUUCCCGUCAAGAUAACAUUGAACAACCUUUCGCAAGUUCGCACGUUACCUUGACGGGAACUUGUUGUCGCGUCCAGCACCCGGUGAGCAGUUGUUUGUAGACUUGCAGCUAUUCGUUCAACCUUCUAAAGUCAUUGUUUUCCCUCUCUCCCUCUUUUCUCUUAUGCACGCAAGGUACUCGCUAAAUUGCUUGUAAAGCUUCUCCUCUUUUCGUGAGACGUCGGGACUUGUCCGUCGCUCGUUCUUUCGAAUUAAUCAACUUUCUCUUUUUACAGGUCCUUCGGGACCUGCGAGAGGUUGCAAGUGGGCUGAUCUUUGCGGAGUAAUAUCGCAAGGGCGAAGCGCGACUUAAGCAACACAAGCUACGUUCGCGUUUUUGCUGUAAAGGUGCCUCGCGACUUAGGAAAGACAAGCUAAGUUCACGUUUUGACCACAAGGGUGUCUCACGCCUUAGGCAAUUCCAGCUAAAACCAUGACAACACGGUAUUUGAUAUAAUAUUUGUAGAUGUACGUGCAUUUUGAUUUUGUUCAUAAUUUAUACAAUAUAUAAAGAGCUUGUAAUAGGUUUAACAAUCACAUUUUGAUUAUUUUUUUGAUCAUUUUAGUCCUAUAAAUAUAUGUUGUAUGUAGUCAUGAGACUAUACUAUCGAAAAAUAAACCAUCUUGGAUAGUCAUUUUGAGAGUUUUCUGUAAAGUAAUUUUGAGUAUCAACUAACAGAGCAUUCUAGAGCUACUUAGGUGGCAUGUGGUUGGAUAGCCAUUGGGGUAGUGUUUAUGGUUGGUUCAGUACCUUGUUUUAUAAUAAAGUCAUAGACACUUGUGGAGACUUUUGAUCAUGAUGAAUUAUCUUGAACCCUUUGUUAUAUGACUGUAAAGUCUUAUGAUUUAUAUUGCCUAUCAAAAGUUUACUGCUUAUGAGAUCUUGGGUUAAACGCCUCGUAUAGCUCAUAUUCCUUUUUGUAAAUCAUUAAGAAAUCAUAAAAGUUCUUAAGAAGAUUGAUAUUUUACAAACAAAUAAGCAAUAAUAUCGUAUAACUUAAGUAAAAUAUGCUAAGAUCCUGACAACUCUUUUGCAUGGUGUCGCUAUGUUAGUGUAAAUAACUUUUUAGCCAUGACCUCGGGGCUGACGCGGCUUGGUUCGGGUCCGGAUGAUAGGUCGCCGGUUCCUUCGCGAGGGGGUUCCUUGCCUACGCGCCCGGAGAGAAGCGCCUCGCCUUCAUUCCUGCACAUAGGUCGGGACGGGAGAACUCGACCUGACCCCUCCGACGAUCGAGUCAGUCAACAAUCGUAGUGGGGUUGUUUUCUCCCUCCUUUCCCUCUUCGUUCAGAAUGUAAGGGUAUUUAUAAUGGGGGUUCGGUGUUACCUGAUGCGCCUGCCCGCAAGGGGUAAGAUCGUACCUUCUGAUGGCGUCUGACAUUGCUAUCGGCGUAGCGUGUGGAAUCGAACCUGAGCGAUCGUUAAUGGGCCUCGGUUGGCGUUUUGACCUGUGUCAGUCAUGCGGUGUCGGACUAACAGGGAAGCGGGACGUCAACGGGUGUCAUGCAAGUCUUAUCGUAAUUAUUACCCUCAUCAAACUAUUUGUUCUAGUGCAUUGUCACAAGUUAAGAUUGUUAGAAGAUUUACACUGCUGUUUCAUUUUCUUCUUUUUCUAUACAUAAGAUUCUAUUUUUGUGCUUCUUUGAUGACUCGAAAGUAAUCCGUGCGUUUCUCCUCUCGAACUUAUAUCUUAAACUUCUGAGGUGAAGAGCAAAGUAUAUAGAACCAUUUGUAUUGUUAUGUAACCGUUGAUUUGAGUAGAACAUUUCCUCGUAUAUCAAAGCUUGAAGAGCACGGUAACGAAACUUAGUCGUACAGGUUUGGGGCCAAUCGCGGCCUGGCCGCCGCCAUCAGUGGCUUGGCUUUGGGCAUGGUCAUGCCGUAGACCUCCUCGGUGUCGAUCUCCUCACAUCGGACCCCCUCCGGCGGCGACCAGUCGAAGCAAUGGAAGAGCGUGGCGAGGGCCAUCAGCACCAUGGUCACUCCCAGCGGCGCGCCGGGGCACCUCCGCUUCCCCGCGCCGAACGGCAGGAUCUUGAAGUCAGCCCCGUGGCUGAUCUCCACCCGCCCGCCGCUGCCCUCCGGCGGCAGGUGUCGCUCGGGCCGGAACGCGUCGACGUCGUCCCAGACGCGCCUGUUCCGCCCCAGCGCGUACGUGUUGAUGAACACGCGCGUCUUGGCGGGGAUGUCGUAGCCCAUGAGCUUGGUGGCCCUGGUGGACUCGUGAGGGAUGAGGAACGGCCCCGCCGGGUGCAGUCGGAAGGUCUCCCUCACGACGCACCGGAGGUACGUCAGGUGGGCAAGGUCUGAUUCCUGCACCAGGCGAUCCCUCCCGACCACCCUGUCGAGCUCCUCCUGGACUUUCCGCAGCACCCCUGGGUGCUUGAUCACCUCCGUCAUGGCCCAUUCGUUCGUCACCGCCGAUGUAUCCGUCGCCGCGGCAAUCAUGUCCUACGCCGAAUUGAUCGACAUCAUGAUGCAGAAGUCAUCCUCUCGAGAACAUGAAUGGUGGCGACGACAUACCUGCAUAAGAGCUUUGAUCUCUGUGUCGUCCAUGCGUUCCUUCCCAUCCUCACCUGGCAAGGAGAGCAGCACAUCAACAAAGUCCAUUGCUUCUUUGUUCUCGCCAUCGCCAGCUUCCUUCCUCCUCGCCAUGGCUUCCCGGUGCUCCUCGAUUAUCUUCUGGUGGAACCUGUCCAUCCUCUUCUCCACCUCCCUUAUCUUCUUCUCGCGCCCGAGCGGGUCGAGCCACCUCCACAGCGGCAGGUAGUCGCCGAGAUAGAUCAGCCCCAGGAGCCAGAACAGCUCGUGGGUGAUGUGCAUGAACUCUGCCGCCUCGGCCGGCCCGGCCAGCUCGGGUCCGAAGUACUGCUUUCCCAGCAGCAUCCUCGUCACGUUGUUCAUGGAAAAGUUGCCCAGGAACUGCCGCAGGUUGACGGGCUCCCCAUCUCGGGCCUUGCGCCACACAUCUCGGGCGAGGUGGCAGGCCUCGAUUUUCCGGUGGCCCGAGAACGACUCGAUCUGCUUCGUGGUAAGCAAGUGCUCCAUGCAGGUUCGCCGCAUCCGCUUCCAGUGCGAGCCGAACGGGGCCAAGGCGACGUCGCGGCAGCCGUAGGCGAGGUGGACGGCGGCCAGCGUCCGGGGCCGGGAGGCGAACACGUCAUCCUGCCGAAGUAGGAUCUCCCGGAUGACCUCCGGGUCGUCGGUGGUGACGGCGUCGACGGCGCCGAGUCGGAGGUAAACGAGCGGCCCGUGGGCUGAGGAAAGUUGGGCCAUGUCCUUGUGCGGGAGUGGGCCCAAUAGAAGUAGGUUCCCAAAGAUGGGCCACCUUGGUGGGCCCGGUGGCAGUCUCAGUUUGGACUUCCAAGCAACCCUUGAGACCAGAGUGAAUCCCAACACAAGAAGUAGAACAAGGAGAGCAACGGAGACCAGAAUACCCACAGGAUGAACCAUCUCCGUAUCACCGAAAUAUCAUCAACAGUAAGUAGAGAUUGGCGAGAGCAUUUGUAUUUAUAAUGCGAAGGCGAUCAUGAUUUGUCUGUGUUGGUUCUAUUAAAGUUAGGUUACCGAGAACAGUGCAUGACCUUGACAUGGACAAGUAGGAGACGUGGAGGAGGCGGCUUGGGCUCUGUUAGGACAAGAAUGUGGCUGCUGGUAGCAGGUGAGCCAUGCUUUUGGCAUUUAGUCGAACUAGUUAUGGGUGUUGCAUGAUUAAGCAUUUAGCAUACUAGUAUAUUUUCAGAUUUAGUAGAUAACAGAAGUGCUUGAAACUAUCUGCUUUAAAUGCUCUUGGCAUUUAAUCAAACAAGUUAUGGGUGUUGCAUGAUUAAGCAUUUAGCAGACUUGUAUAUUUGCAGAUUUAGUAGACAACAUAUGUGCUUGAAACUAUCUGAUUUAAAUGCUUUUGGCAUUUACUCAAACAAGUUAUGGGUGUUGCAUGAUUAAGCAUUUAGCAGACUUGCACAUUUGCAGAUUUAGUAGAUAACAUAUGUGCUGCUUUAAAUGCUUUUGUUGCUGGAAAAUAACAUACCAGAAAGUGCAUUUCUUGGCAACCAACAAAAACAUAUGAAAUCAGGAAAAUUUCCUGAUUUAUUUACUUGUUUAUUCAAGAGAGGUUGGGGGAUGGUACUGACUCUUUAAAUGAUUUCAAGAGAGGAUGGGGGAUGGUACUGACUCUUUAAAUACUUUCAAUUAUUUAGACUUCAAACUAAGCUGCUGUCUCACAUAAUAUUUUUGACCAAGAAGAUUGAUAAGACAUUUCACAUCUUCAUAUUUCAUCCUUAUAUUAGGGAAAUAAACUAAAUUGGCAGAGGAUGAGGCUAUGGCUCUGAUCUGUCUAAAGUAUAAUAUUAUUUUUAUAUAUUGAAUUGGUCAAAGAAGGACAGAUGCUGAUUUCUCUCUCUUUUUUUGCUUCCUGUAGGAGCAAAGGCAGUCUAAAAGUGUAUACAUAUUGAAUUGGUCAAAGAAGGACAGAUGCUGAUUUCUCUCUUUUUCUUCCUGGAGGAGAAAAGGCAGUCUAGAAGUGUAUAUAUAUUGUAUUGGUCAAAGAAAAAUUGCUGACUUGCUGCCUACUCCUUGUUUGAAUUAGAACAAUUUGGAUUCUGAAGGACAAGGAUUGCAAUUUUUAAUUCAAGUAGUUCUCAUGUUUGUAAUCUGAUAUAGAAGUUCUAUCUCUUUUAUGCCUACACUCCAUGAUUUUGCUUUACACACCCCAAAGAAAAUUUGCUGCCUACAUAAUGUUUGAAUCUUAGAAUGAAUUCAAUUCCAGAAAACAGCAUUCACAUUUUUUUUUUGUUUACGUAAUUUCCAUUGUGAACAUCACUUCCAAAUAACCUCUCAACAGUUCUUCUCCAUUGUUGUUCUCAUCUGCUGCCCUCCCUUUACCUUUUCUAAGUGGUUGCAAUGAUCAAAGUUAUCUUCUUUUUUUUGGUCAUUCCUGACUCAACCAUCUCAGUCCUUCAAAAAUGGCAGCUUAAUUAUGCUGCAAGUCAUAGUUUUAAGUGGUGACCUUUUAGGUAAUGAGGGAAAGAACAAAUAAAAUAACUACAGUUCUAGAGAGAAGAUGAGAGGGUUGGAAAAAAAUACAUGUUUAAGUCACCAAGCAAUCUAAUGAAGUAAAAACAACUUCAUUAAUUCAUCAAAUCUUAAAUAACAAUAGUCUUUUUGUGGUCUGUGUUUUACUCUGUCCAAGUCCCACUUUGUGACUUGUUCCUAAAGUUAGGAUGCAUUACCUUGAAUCAAACUUGUCUAGCAAAUAAUAAAUAUAUCUUGAAUGGAAUUUGAGUUUGUUAGACCUCUCUAUCCUCUUAAUAUUUCAUGUCAAACCAUUUUUUCAUCAGAAAUAGCUUGUUUUAUAUAUGAUUAUACUCAAAUUCUGGAGAAAAAAUAUGAGAUUAAUUUUUUGGAGGAAGUCAUAAGCCAAAGUGACUAACUUAAAAUGCUUAUGUUUAAAUAAUAAAAAAACAAAAUUUCUCAUAUCACAUUAAGUUUGAUAAAAAUAAAUCAAUAUUAUAUGUAGAGAGAGGAAAAAUGAUGAAAUUGUUUUUUUUUUUUAAGAAAACAUUAUUUGAGCAGUGCAUGUUUACAUGUAUGUGUGAAUAAUAAAGUCAAAUAUGUUGCUUAGACCUUUGAUGAGAAGGUUUGAAGAACCAAAGUGGCACUGAUAAAUGAAGCAUUUAAUCGUAUCUCAUGAUAAUUUAUGUAAUAUGUUCGUAUUAUUCUUUGAGAAUUAAAAUUGUUUCAUAUCAUCUUAUAAAGGAAUAAUUAUAUUUAGAUUAAACAUAACUUCUUAAAUAGUGUGGGUCCUACACAUUAGAUUUAGAUCGAUGAGAUGACACAAAGUUUAAAGUAGUAAUUUCAUUUAAUGAUUCUUUAUUUUUUUUAUGUCAUCCAUAAGUCCCGUUCUAUAAAAAUCUUAUUAUUUAGAGCCAUCUUUUACUAUAUAUAAUUUUUUUACUAUUUAUAAUCCUUUAAAAAAUAAUAAAAAAAAUAUUUUUUAUUAAUUACAGUCUCUCUAAUUUAAUGUCAACGACUACGCUGUCCUCAUCAUCCCUCCGUAAGCGCUUAGCUCCCCAUCCACCUGCAUCGCCGCCUCCCCCUCUCUCCUCCUCUGUUUAGCACUCUAAAGCCACAAGCCAAGGGAGUACAGUAAGCAGCGCUUGCCAAUCCACUACAAUCGUAUCAUGAAAACGACGACGACGACAACUUUGCGGAUCCGCCCGCCAAAGAAUUAGCUUCCCCUCCUCCAAGUCUCUUCGGCGGGGGCGGCGGCGAGCUUCAAGGUACUGUCACAACCCCUUCCCGCACGAUUCGCUGGAUGGAUUGUUCGUGUUCCCGUCGUUUCUGUUCUACGUCUGCUUGAAGCGUCAGAAAGAUUCCGUUUGGAGGGUGGCAGAAGCUCCCUUCAAGAGUUUGCGCGCGGUUUGUUUGAUCGCUCAAAUUUCUCUUCUUCUUUUGUUGUUCCUCGAAAUUAAAAAAAAUGAUUUUUCUUUUCUCCUUCUGCUUCGUUCUUCAAAGAGAAAAAGAUUGCGUCUUGCGUCUUGUUCCCUCAAAUUUCUCUUCUUCCUUUAUUGCUUCUCGAAAGAACAAAAAGAAUUUUCUUUUGAUCGUGCCUUUUUGUUCUCUUUCUUCUCUUCUUUCUUGAAAGAGGAAAAUGAUUGAUUUUCGAGUCUGCACGGUUUCUUCGCGAGUUUUGAGAUGGCGCGAUGAGAAUCCAAUCUUUUGUGCUAGACUACUUUUGGAGAUGAUGGGGUUCUUCCCGUCCGCUUAUUGCGGAACAAGUGGGUUACGUUCGUUGAUGCGAUUAUAACGGGUCUGUUUGGUUUCUUUCUUAAACAAGCGGCCCUGUUUCUUGAAUUAGUUUGAUAAUUGCCAUCCUGUUUCUUCUUGAAAGAGGAAAAAGAAUUCCACUGUGAGCUUGUACGCGUCCGGUUUCGAGAGUUUUUAGUGGUUUGAGCGAAAGCUUUACCGGACAGGCUUUUCACGAAUCCGGAUUUUUUCUGUUAUACGUCUAAAAAGGGUUGAUUCUUGCUGUCGGCUUUAGCGUAUCUAGUGGCUUUGGUUCGUUGAAGCGAUUAUAAUGGACCUAUCUAUAGAAGAUAUAUUCUGUGGUGGCUAACACUUUUUUUUUGUUUUCUUUUGGCAUUUGUCCGUCGAUGGAUCUGGUUAGAAGAGACGUCUAAUAUAAAGAGAAACCGGGUUAAGUGAUUGGAGUUUGAGGCUGUUCAGAGCCAUGGGUUUCAAGCCGCUGAUGUGGUACUGCCAGCCGGAGAAGCAUGGGGCUUGGUCGACGGUGGUGGAGAACGCUUUUGGCCCGUACACGCCUUGUGGUAUGGAGAGCUUGGUGGUUUGCAUCUCCCAUUUGGCCCUCUUCGGUGUCUGCUUCUAUCGGAUAUGGAGGACUAAGAGGGACCACACUGUCCAGCGGUACUGCCUGAGGUCUCCAUAUUACAAUUAUUUGUUGUGGCUGCUUGCAGCAUACUGCACUGCGGAGCCAUUGUUAAGGAUGGUGAUGGGCCUUUCUGUCACAAAUCUGGAUGGGUACACAGGUCUGGCUCCAUUUGAGGUGAGUGCCCAAUUUGUCUGGAUAUUUUGUCUUGUUUUUAGUGACUCAUUACUCAACUCUCUCUUUCAUUGCUAAAAGAGAGUUCUUGGAUUUGUUGAGUUGAUAGUUAAUCAAGUGAUAAUUUUUCACUUCAUUGCUAAGCAAUUUUAUCUAGUUAAGCUAAUAGUGCUCGAUGAUUCCCUUAAUAGUUCUCCAACAUGAUGCUCGGACAAACUUAGUCUGAAUAUGCUAUGUGGUUAUUUUGUUUAGGGUGAUAUAUUUAAGGUAAUUUCUUCUAAAGAAAGAAAAUUUCCCAGGACAGAGAUAUGCUUUAAUCAACCAUAGCAAUUUCUGCUUUUGUAUGGUAGGCUUUUAGCAUCCUUAAAGUUCAGUAAAAUGAUAAUAGACAAAAAUAAAAUCUCUUUUGAAGCAUUUCUAUUACAUCUUGCUUCACUGAAUCGUCCUACGUCUUUCAUAAUGUCUAGAUUCAUGACAAUAGGUGUACCACCGACGAUAGUAUAUUUCACCUGUUGGCUCUGGACCUUUCUUGACAUAAUCAUAUUAUAUUUUGUUUUGGUUUUGUAGCAUAAAACACCCACAUUCACAAGCUCAUUUUACUAUAUUAUCUUCUUCUUUCAGGUAGUUACAUUGCUUAUUGAAGCUGCUGCUUGGUGCUGUAUGCAAGUGCUGAUAAUAAUGGAGACAAAAAUCUAUAUACACGAGUUCCGGUGGUAUAUUCGCUUUGUAGUUGUCUAUGUUCUGGUUGGUGAAAUUUCUAUGUACAACCUUGUACUAUCGGUGAGACAAUAUUUUGACAAGUAAGUUUCUUGAAGUGUCAUGUUCAUUGCGCAUAUUCUUUUGUAGCCUGUAUCCAAGCAUGUAACUUGGAUUCAGUUUUUAGAAAUUUCCUAAGCCUUGAAUUCUUGUAAAUGAAAAUAAUAAGCUGCCUUAGUUUUAUAAUGCAUGAAGCAAUUGUCUCAGAGCCUGAAUUUAGCUAAAAUGUGGAGUAUCAUGAAAUGAACCAAACAAAUUCAUUAAAUCAAUUGUUCAAAUUUUGUAAUCUCACCAGGCUUAGCUUCUUAAACCUAGUAAUCAGAGGAAUUCAUGCAAGGAUAUUGUUUCUGUGAAAUUCCUUCAGUUUGAAGAUUCCUCAACAAAGUUAUUAAAGGGGUAAUUUUUGUUAAAUGUUUUGGUAAUGUCUAGGACAUCUUGAAGUCUCUCAUGAUAUUAUGCAUUACUUGCUUUAUCUGGCUAAAAUUCUUGAGCAUCUAAGCAGAACUAAAGCAUCAUUACCAUUUUGUGCUGUAUGCAGAUCAAUUUUCUAUAUUUACACCAGCGAGAUAGUAUCCCAGGUUUGUAUCGAUUCUUUCUUGUAUCUUACAAAUAUCAAAUACAAUUUACUUUCAGGUGGUUUUCUACGGAUGAUAUUCCCUCUUCUUUAUUAUUUGCAUCUAGAACCUACCCUCGAUAAAGCUUUGUUCACAAUGUCAUCUUCUUCAUAGUGAUAUUAAACUUUAAGCCGUACAUUUAAGUGGCCAAAGUUUGUGAACUUCGCUAAAUAUUCUUGUAUUUCACAUGCAGUUUUUGUUUGGUAUCCUUUUGCUUAUCUAUGUUCCAAGUUUGGAUGCUUAUCCUGGAGACAGUCCAGUUAGAACCGAGGCAUUAAUUGACAACAUGGACUAUGAACCACUUCCUGGAGAAGAGCAUAUAUGUCCUGAGAGGGAAGUCAACAUGUUUUCCAGUGAGUAUAUUGAAGGCUUAAUUGUUUUAAGUGAUGGCUUGAUAGUAUUAAGCAAAAAUUUCCUUGUUACCAUAUCUUGGGCGAUGACUUUCUAUUUUCUCCUUAGAAAUAUUCUUUUCAUGGAUGACUCCUCUCAUGCAACAAGGCUUUAAGAGGCCCAUCACUGAGAAAGAUGUUUGGAAAUUAGAUUCGUGGGACCGGACGGAAACUCUGAAUGGCAGGUAUUUGUCCUCAAUCCCUUGGCUAGUUUCUCACAGAAUCAUAAAUGUUAACUUUUCAAUUCCUUCUAAUGGAUUCUUGUUUCAGGUUCCAGCAAUGCUGGGCUGAGGAAUCUAGAAAACCUAAACCUUGGCUGUUGAGAGCACUGCAUCGCAGUCUCGGAGGAAGGUACGAACUAUAACCUACUAAUUGUGCAAGUUUUGUGUUGCAAUUAUAUGUUGGGGGGAUAUUUAUUCUCUGUAAUACCUUGGGGAUUUUUCUCCGAUCUAAUAUUUCGGUUUCUCUUUGACUUUCUCGACAGAUUUUGGCUUGGUGGAUUUUUCAAGGUAACACAUGGAAAUUCUUACAGUUGUCUUUUACUUUGAUUUAGCCUUUUUUUUUUCACUGAAAUUGGAAUGGAAUGAACUGCAUUGCUAAUAAUUGACCCAAUAAACAAUGCUUUCAAUUAUCUUUUUUAUGGAAAUUCCUUAUGUAAUUACAGUUUGUAUUGAUGUUUCCAUCAAUUUUGUGGAAGCAUCCAUAAAAUUUAUGUUGCGUGAUGAAGAAAUAAAAUUGUCGGAAAAUUUCAUGAAUGGCUAGACUAAUUUGUAUGGAUGAAACCCGGUUGAUGGACAAUAUAGUGCAAGUUGCAUAUUGCAGAGUACCAACUUCAUUUAUCUACUGGGUGGGUCUUCUUGGAUAAUUCUUUUUCCUUCUUGUCUCAGAUUGGUAAUGAUGCAUCUCAGUUUGUUGGUCCACUAAUAUUAAACCGCCUAUUACUGGUAUGUUAUUUUCUGACAAACCUGAAUUUAUAGAAUUUUUUAUCUUAUUUUAUGCUGUGUUUUCACAUUGUUGCUCAUUUUAAUAUGUGUUUAUUUAUUCAGUGGCAUUUUUUUGACGUAAUUAGCAAAAUUAUGUGGAUGCAAUUCUUUUUCAGAUUUAAUUUAUGUGCCAAAAAUGGAACACUCUAGUUUCAUGAAAUUUCUAUUGACACGUGGUACUGGUGUAGGACAAUCAAAAGGUUUAGGCUGAUGGGUUUAGGGAGAGAGCCGGUGAAAAAAGGUGACACAAAAGAGGGGAGAUUCAACAAUUCAGUCGAUCUAUGGGGAAUUUGAUUUGAAACCAUGAAAGAACAAGUAGCGCAAAUUCAAACAUAUACCAAUUUUGAGGAGGGAGAAAGAUAUUGAUUUGCCCUCUUGGCUAGCCUCACUAGGUUGUGAUUUUUAUCUGCUAUUCUCCAAUGCUGGGUUGUUCCAGCAACAUCAGGCUCUCACUAGUUGGAUGGAUCGUGUAUGGUCAAGGGAAAGUCUAGGAUAGUAGUGUCUGGGGUUUAGAGAUUUUGUAAUGGUAGAAUUUAUAUGAGUAGGAUAUUUGGAGAAGACAGAAAAGGAAGAUAAGAAAUAAUAGAUAACUUAUUGGACUCACCCCAAGAUAGAAAGGAUGAUAGGAAAUCAUCAAUCAAGAUUUGUGAUCUUUAAUCAAUUCAAGUUUUAAUUGCUUCCAUCUUUUUCUUCUCCUUGUGCUAUCUAGGAAACUAAAAUAGAAUCAUGGAAAAUGCUGCCAUGUGGCAACUUAUGUUUUUUUUACAAAACACCCUCUAAAAUACUAAUAUUAUUAAAAAAAUAGAUUGAAUUGAAAACAUGUCAAUUGACCUUGAAUCCAAUUAUCAUCACUGUCUAAAGGUAUUACUGAUGAACUUUCUUCUUUCCAUGCCUAGUACAGAACUGAAAAGUGUCUUGAUUUUCAUGAGGUAUGUACAAGUUCAAGCCUAUGACCAGCUUGUGGCUUGCCAAAUUUGGGUUAAAACCACUUAAGACACAUGCAAAAGUCAAAAUUCCAAGAUUUUGCCUGGUCUUAGUUGAAGCCCAGUAAGUUCUAACUGAUAAUGGUUGGUUGAAAUACUUAAGACCUUGAUGGUUCCUGGUUAACUGGUGACCCUCUCGAUCCUUCCCAUUGUUCUGUUUCUCCCAACUUUCUCUUCAUCCAGCUCCCUCUUGCUGACAUUCCAUCUGUCUCCCGUUCUUCGACAAAACCCUCCAUUUGGGCAUAUUUUUAGAUGAGGGCUACCACUUCAAGAAGAAGAAAUCAAACAAAUGUAUCAACACCUUGAUAUAAUACAAUACCUAUAUCAUAGUGCUCUCAAAGGGGAUCAAUACAGGGUCAGUACUUGACACAACAUUCCUUGAUUUGAAAUUUUGAACUGUAUUUUUGUUGUGCAAAAAAUUCUUAGGCAUAUCUGCAGAUGUUAUCUUUAUUGUAGAUUAGUCUUAGGGCUGAAAAUUUUCAGAACAUUGUCAGUGAUAUUUUCUUCUAUGAUACUUGACUACAAGAACACAAGUUGGAUAGAUUAGUAUGUUAAUUUAAUCUAAUUUUACCAUUGGAAUCCACCUUUCUUUUAUUAACUAGGGUUGUUCGUUGUUUAGUUAAUUAUUUAUUACAUAAUUUUUUGAACGGACUUGAUGUUUUCUAGUUAAAUGAAACCUAGAAUGCUAUAACUAUUACAGCGUCACUUAACGUGUGAUGCUGAUUCAGUUCUGUCUUGACCCAGGCUUGAUGGGCUAACUGGCUUAUCAACUUCGUUGAACCCAAACCAUUGGUCAGAAUGCCUGAGCUGAAGUCAAUAGUAGUACACCUAUCUGACCCUUAUAAGAUAAUCUUAGUUUUGCUUACUCUCGAUGUGGGACUUUUCGGGGUGUUGCAGGUUCCUUAGUUUGUCAAUUACCCCAAUGGGGGAAGAAUUACUUAUCAGCAUGGCAGAAAUGGAGCAGAGUGUAGCAGUGAAGGUGGUAUUAGGUCAUUGCCGUGCUGUUGUCGUAGAAGAUCUUGGUACAUAUGGUGAGGAUGGGGAGAUGAGGAACUCAGUCUAGGCACAAUGGUGGUCUGAGAUGAUUGGGAUUGAGGCUGCAACCAUGGGCCGCAAGUUCCAGUUGAGUGGUCUAGAUGGGAACCAGGGUGAUUUGAGUCUGUGGGGACACUCACUUUGGGAGAGAACAUCUGCACUGAGGUUUUGGGAUUGUAGAAAGAAGUCUUACAUGAUGGUGGAUUUGGAAUUUGGGCAAGAAACUCCAUAUCUGUAUUGUAGUUCUUCAGAAUGUGCAUGAGUUCAAUUUUUUUGAUCUGUUUGUAAGAGGAAAAAAAGAUAUCUGUAAAGGUGCCUCUUGGUUGCCUGUACCCUAUACUUAGUUAUAGACCUUCCCCAAGGAUGGUCAUUAAAGAUGAACAUUGAACAUGACCUGGGUUGAUCCAUGAUGUCUCCUCCUGUUAGGUACAUACAAAUAUGGAUAUAUGUGUUUAUAAUGCAUAUAUGUAUAUAGGUAAAACAGGUGACAGAAGGUAGGCUUUUUGCUUAGAACAUUUGAACCACAGCACAAGUAACUGGUUUGUUUGCUCAUUUAUUAUGGUUUUAUUUUUGCUGUUCUACUUCAGUUUCUGGUCUUUUACUAAACAUGUUCUGUUUUUCUUUAAUUUUCUAUUUGUUGUUGAUUUUUCUUAAGAUAAAUCUGAAGUUUGCUGACAUGAUAUGCAGUCCAUGCAACAAGGGGAACCGGCAUGGACUGGCUACAUUUACGCAUUCUCAAUCUUUGCUGGGGUGGUAUGUGCUUCUAUCUUACGCAUACAUAUUUUUGGUGCAGGCAUUUUCACUUCAUAAUGUUGAUGAACAUGUAUCUAGUUAUUAUUUAUCCAAAUAACUAAAGAGGGCUUAUCUGAAAAAUGUCAGUGUACAUCAAUGUAUCUGAUCAUGUGAUGUUCAGUAUUGCCCUCCAUGGAAUUAAUAAGCUAAGAGACUGAUAUGGUUAGGAGUGACUUAAAUAUACAUUGGAAGGUUGUGGAUGUGGGGAAGACGGGCACAGGGGAAGAGGAGCAGCUGGAAGGUGAAGUCAAGGCAACAUGCUGAGAGAUGUCUUAGUAUUGCCUUCAAUUGAUUAUUAAAGAUGCUUUUCAAAAGGAGAUGCCACAAUGAAUUGGAACAGGCCUUACAUGAGAAUGAAGGGAAGAACUAGAAAUCAAGCGCCACAUAUAGUUUAAAAAAAAAAAUCACAUAUGUACAUAUUGAUAUAUGACAUAAAAUGCAAAUAUGGUUUUUGUAAUUUAGCCAGAUAUGUAGUGGUCUAUGGCUCUAUGCACAUAUACAUUCUGAUAUGUUUGUGUUGUCAUUGUUUUAGCUUUCAACUAAGAGAAUUUCAUUCCUAGUGAACCUUCUCAUUAGGGAUGUGAUACCUGGUGAUAUUGGCUGUUUGAUCUCUCUGAUACAUUAUAGUGUGGUUCCUGUUCUCCACAUGGUUCAAGAGGGAAUAGCUCUAGUAGUGAGAGCAAAAAUUUGGACAUUUGGGUGUCUUUGUGUUUUGACCCAGAUUCAACAAUUGCUUAUAAAUGAAAACCAAAAGCACGUUUCAUCAUAUAGCAAUUGUUGAACUUAUGAAAAAGGUCUUUUCAAUAUUUUUGGUAGCAUAGUUUCUCCCUUUUCAGUAAAUAUUGAGUUUAACUGUUAUUUUUAUUUUUAUUUUCCUUUUCUGCUGGCAUCUUUGCAAUUGCAUAUAAUUUUGCAGAAGGCUAUAUUGUUAUCUUUUUGCUUGCUGACAUAUAUUUUGAUUUCAGGCACUGGGAGUAUUAUCUGAAGCACAAUACUUCCAAAAUGUCAUGCGUGUUGGUUUUAGACUGAGGACUACGUUGGUACGCUACGCAAAUAUUACUGUUCUUCAACACUAGGAUUAAAAUUUAAGUUACAUAAAAGUGCGUAGUUAACCUUAUUCUGGAGGUACUUUGUUGCAGACACAUUUAGAAUAGUCUAAUAUCAUGGUUGAUGUGUAUCCUUUCUGCUAUUCAUGUCAUUGCUAUAUGUAUCUCCUUCCUAAUUAUGGUCAAUAUUUCUUUCGUACCAUAAGAUACUCUGAAUUAAGGUAUGUAAUUUCGUACUGUACCGGAGUUUUGACGUUUGCUCGGUACGGUACGAAACUGUAUACCGAGCGGUAUACCGUUCGGUAUNNNNNNNNNNNNNNNNNNNNNNNNNNNNNNNNNNNNNNNNNNNNNNNNNNNNNNNNNNNNNNNNNNNNNNNNNNNNNNNNNNNNNNNNNNNNNNNNNNNNNNNNNNNNNNNNNNNNNNNNNNNNNNNNNNNNNNNNNNNNNNNNNNNNNNNNNNNNNNNNNNNNNNNNNNNNNNNNNNNNNNNNNNNNNNNNNNNNNNNNNNNNNNNNNNNNNNNNNNNNNNNNNNNNNNNNNNNNNNNNNNNNNNNNNNNNNNNNNNNNNNNNNNNNNNNNNNNNNNNNNNNNNNNNNNNNNNNNNNNNNNNNNNNNNNNNNNNNNNNNNNNNNNNNNNNNNNNNNNNNNNNNNNNNNNNNNNNNNNNNNNNNNNNNNNNNNNNNNNNNNNNNNNNNNNNNNNNNNNNNNNNNNNNNNNNNNNNNNNNNNNNNNNNNNNNNNNNNNNNNNNNNNNNNNNNNNNNNNNNNNNNNNNNNNNNNNNNNNNNNNNNNNNNNNNNNNNNNNNNNNNNNNNNNNNNNNNNNNNNNNNNNNNNNNNNNNNNNNNNNNNNNNNNNNNNNNNNNNNNNNNNNNNNNNNNNNNNNNNNNNNNNNNNNNNNNNNNNNNNNNNNNNNNNNNNNNNNNNNNNNNNNNNNNNNNNNNNNNNNNNNNNNNNNNNNNNNNNNNNNNNNNNNNNNNNNNNNNNNNNNNNNNNNNNNNNNNNNNNNNNNNNNNNNNNNNNNNNNNNNNNNNNNNNNNNNNNNNNNNNNNNNNNNNNNNNNNNNNNNNNNNNNNNNNNNNNNNNNNNNNNNNNNNNNNNNNNNNNNNNNNNNNNNNNNNNNNNNNNNNNNNNNNNNNNNNNNNNNNNNNNNNNNNNNNNNNNNNNNNNNNNNNNNNNNNNNNNNNNNNNNNNNNNNNNNNNNNNNNNNNNNNNNNNNNNNNNNNNNNNNNNNNNNNNNNNNNNNNNNNNNNNNNNNNNNNNNNNNNNNNNNNNNNNNNNNNNNNNNNNNNNNNNNNNNNNNNNNNNNNNNNNNNNNNNNNNNNNNNNNNNNNNNNNNNNNNNNNNNNNNNNNNNNNNNNNNNNNNNNNNNNNNNNNNNNNNNNNNNNNNNNNNNNNNNNNNNNNNNNNNNNNNNNNNNNNNNNNNNNNNNNNNNNNNNNNNNNNNNNNNNNNNNNNNNNNNNNNNNNNNNNNNNNNNNNNNNNNNNNNNNNNNNNNNNNNNNNNNNNNNNNNNNNNNNNNNNNNNNNNNNNNNNNNNNNNNNNNNNNNNNNNNNNNNNNNNNNNNNNNNNNNNNNNNNNNNNNNNNNNNNNNNNNNNNNNNNNNNNNNNNNNUAUAUAUAUAUAUAUAUAUAUAUAUAUAUUUUUAAAGGCGAUGUCGCAUUGCCUCGGCGACGUCGCCUUUUCCUUCUCCCACGCGGGACGACGUCGCCUCGUUUAUAUAUAUAUAUAUAUAUAUAUAUAUAUAUAUAUAUAUAUAUAUAUAUAUAUUUAUUUAUUUAUUUAUAUAAAAAAUAUUUUUAUAAAAGGCGACGUCGCCUUUUCCUUCUCCCAUGUGGGGCGACGUCGCCUCGUUUAUAUAUAUAUAUAUAUAUAUAUAUAUAUUUAUGAUUAUAUAUAUUUAUAUAUAAAUAUUUAUAUAUAAAUAUUCUUUAUAUAUAAGGCAAUGUCAUCGAAAAAGGCGACACGACGUCACCUUUUAUUAUAUAUAUAUAUAUAUAUAUAUAUAUAUAUAUAUAAUUUUUUAUUUUUUAUUUUUGUUCUGUCCGGUAACGGACGGUCCGUGUACCGGUAAGCUGACGAACCGAUAUGUACCGCCCAUACCGGACGGUAUUAUUCGAAAUUGCAUACCUUGCUCUGAAUAGUGUCCCUGUAUCUUUCAUGUGUUAGCAGAUUGAGUAGAUUGUUUUAACCUUUUGGGAUCAAAUUUGGUAGGAGCCUCAUGCACUAUGUCUCCUCUUUUUAAACAUUUGCUACAGUUAGAUGUUGCUGUAGAGUCAAAAUGAAGUCCGGCUCAGAAGUUUGAGGACUGUUGAUGCUACUCAUUCUUAAAAAUUACUCUAGUAGGAAUAUGUAAUCUGGUACUGAUAAUAAUCUAGAGAACAACUUAUAGGACAUUUAACAAAUACAAUUAGUUCUGUUGAUCUGAGUCCACCAAGGGCUGAUGUUGAUUUGAAUUUGGUGAAAAAGUCAAGACAGAGAACAAUAUGUGAAAUCACAUAAAGCUGUUAUUGUUUUGUUGCUUUUUUCACCAUGGCUGGAAUAUUGCUGAAUUUGUGCAAUACAUUGCUGUUUCUCUCCCAUUUGAACAUUGAAGUUCUUAGACCUUUUCCGAGGAGCUUUGGUUCAGAGUUAUGGGAUCAGGAUGGUCUACAAAAUAUGAGUUAAAAGAUUAUCCAUGUCGAGUAUAAUCUCAUUUCAUUUAAUGAUGAUACUUGGUAUAAAUGCAGGACAUUCUGAUACUUCUACUCUUGUAAGGAAUAUCUCUUAUUGCUUCACUGCAGCUAAGUUACUGCCUUUCCCUUAUGAUACCUUCCCCCAUAUGAACUUGUUUCAAGGAACUCAUUAUAUUGAAGCAGUGAAACCACGACAAAUUUUACUUGUUUUUUGUAUAUGUUAUAUCAUUUUAAUUUGACUAGUCCUAAUUUAUUCAUGUAUUGGCUUCGCAUCUUCAUUUCAUUUCAUUUUUUUGUUUUUGCUUUGCUUCAAUUAUUAGUAUGACUAUUUGAUUUUUAUUCACCUUAAGAUUUCUCAGAUUACUAUCAUAUUGAAAUUCUUUGAGACUUAUUGUUCUGGUUUCUAUGUUUAGGUUCGAUAGUUGUGUCCUAAAGAAAUUAUGUACUUGUCCUUUUCAUUACAGGUUGCAGCAGUGUUUCGGAAAUCUCUAAGACUAACCCACGAGAGUCGCAAUAAAUUCCCAUCAGGAAAGAUAACCAACUUGAUGACAACUGAUGCAGAAGCACUUCAGGCAUUUCCAUCUUGCUAAACCUAUUACUGCAGAUGAGAUGACGUGAAAGAAAUAUUUAGUCCACCUCAAUUGCUAAACUGUGUCAAAAAAUUUGUCUGCUCAAAUGUUUUAAUGGAAGAUAACAUGUUAAAUAGCACAUCUAGUUUCUUACCUCAACAAAGGUCACAUUUUGUGAUCUUUUCCAGUUAGGUGAUAUAUGCUGAAAAAGAAAGCACAUAUAUUCUGGUUUCUUAUGUAAAAUAAGUAUAUUUCUAUGCAUGUCUUUUUAAAAUUAUUCUUUAAAGAAUUAAGAUAAUAGAUAAUGACUGACAAGUUUAAUAAACUGGCAUUGUGAAAACUUUCAGGUUAAGGUUCGGUAAGGUUGUGUACAAAACUAAACAUUAUUUUGAUGCAUCUUGCCAUUCUCUUUGAACAGCAAGUGUGCCAGCAGCUUCACAGUCUAUGGUCAGCUCCCUUUCGGAUUAUCAUUUCAGUUAUUCUUCUGUACGAGCAGCUGGGUGUUGCAUCUCUUAUUGGCUCAUUUGUGCUGGUUCUUUUGUUUCCCAUACAGGUAAUCACCCUUAUAAUAUUAUAUUUUUGCAAUCUAUCAUUUUUCUGCAGUCUCAAUGUUGAACUUUUGUCAUCUCAUAACAUUAUUAAGGUCAAGUUUGACACAAUUUCAAAUGUGAUACUUGCACUUUAUGGUUCUUAGAAGCAAGGAUUGCCGUUUUGGAUAUUGGACCCAUUUCGGUGUUCUACUCGAACCGGUAUGUGCACGUCAGUACCGGUGUACCAACAUAUGGUACACUGGUAUGUAUUGGUGUUUGGAAGAUGAAGAAGAAGAAGAGGAAGGCACAGUAGAGGAAGGAAAAAAGGAAGAGGAAGGAAGAAGAGGAGGUGAUGGAGGAAAAGGUGGAGAAAGAAAGGAGGAAGAUGAAGGGGUAGUGGUAGAAGAAGAGAUGGAGAAAGAAGAAGGAAGAAGAGGAAGUGGUGGAGGAGGACGAGGAAGAAGAGGAAGGGAGAAAAAGAAUGAUGAAGAGAAGGGGGAGAAGAGGAGGAAGUGUAUUAUGGAGAUAAGCGGCAGUGACAUCGAACGGCAGCAGCGUCGUGUGAAGAGGGCAGCAGCGAGAAAAGGGCUUGCGAUCGCUGUCAACUCCUUAACAUGUUCAGCUUGGCUUCACCUUGAAAUUAUAUGAGCAAGACAAUAUAAUAUUUUCCAUAUUAGUUAUUCAAAUACAUAUUUUUGUAUAUCCCCUAAAACUUGUUAUUUACAAGAUAGUCCUCUCCAAUCCUUCUCUGCUGUGCAUAUAUGUCCUUUGAUCUAUUUUACUCUUUUCUUGUUUAGUUUGGAAUACCAAGACUGAAAUAGAUUCGCAGCACUAGCUUCAUGCGUAUCCUGGCAACCUAUGCUUCUAAUGCUCUCUUGCCUCUUCUAAGGGUCAAGUGGAUCAUGCUUCUAGUUGUAUGGAGGCUGGUUGGAACUUUUAGCUAUCAAAGGAAUAUUCCUUGUCUUGAUUUAUUUGGUAAUCUUUUAAGUAAUUGCAAAUGAAAAUUUCCAAGAACCGCCCACCGUACCAGUAUGGAGUGGAUCUGAUAGUCACUGUUUACUUGGUAAAAGAUGAUUGACAUAAUCGAGUGAUGCAAUCCUAAAUGGAUUGCAUUACCUUCAAAUAUAGGUUUUUGUCAGGCAAAUUGCAUCUCAGGAACUUAAGCCUGAGCUUAUACCAAUUUUUUGGGUGCUUUUAAACAGUCCUUGAGCUGAAGAAACAUGAAGCUGUUUCAGCUCUGAUAUUCUUAAUUGGAAGGAACAGAAUAGUUGUCUCAAAGUUAUAAUGUAAAGUCCUGUAUGGUAUUUUUUUCAUUGCCUACUACAAUCAUCUUAUGUGUUGUUUAUGGCUUGUUCAGUCUUUUAUAUAAGUUUGCCUUGAGUGAGGCUGUGAUUUCCAAGCAGUUUUUAGGUGCAGGUUAAUAAAAUAUUUUGAAAUUCUUGGCCAUAUAUGUUUCUCUCAAAUAAAAGAGAACAUAGCUUUGGAGCUUGGAGCAGCUUUUUAUACUUCAAUGUAGAGAAAUUCCAGAAGUUCUUCGCUUCAUUGAAACAUUUUUUUUUCUUUUUCUAUGCCAAUUGUUACAUUUGAAAUUUGCUACUCAAUUUAAAACCACAUUCCAUGUUAGCCAUAUAAAGCAACUAACUAGAAUCGAUAUGUAUGGGGUGUUUACAUUUAAUAUAGUGCUUGGAGUUGUCAUUUUAAUGUUUUACAGUAUCUGCCUUUUUAAAUCAACCAUACCAAUGAUUGUUUGUCAAUUUUUCAUAGACAAAUCUAUCAGGCUAAACUCUAAAGAAUAACUUUCACUGUUUCACUAUAAUGCAGUUGUACAAGUAUUUAGGUCUGUUAACUGCUUUCCCUAUAUUAUUUCCCAUUCUGAUAUCUUUUUUGGUUUAUUGUGGAAUCAGACAUUGGUGAUAAGUAAAAUGCAGAAACUUUCUAAGGAGGGCUUGCAACGUACUGACAAGCGGAUUAGUCUCAUGAAUGAAAUAUUAGCUGCGAUGGAUACAGUGAAGUAUGUUUCAGAUUGGUUGGUAUUGCUUUAGAGUAUCUUAUUUUGGCUGGCCGCUGAUCAUUCUUGAUCUCUUGGUGAACCAGAUGUUACGCAUGGGAACAGAGCUUCCAGUCAAAAGUGCAGAGCAUUCGCAAUGAUGAGCUUUCAUGGUUCCGCAGUUCUCAGCUGUUAGCUGCGGUAAGAUUAAAAAAAUAUUUUCAUGAAUUCCCUAGUGGGAUCAGAGGAUAUACCAGUGAAAAAAUAUUAUUUUUGUUUCUUUUUUUUUGUAGAAAGUUUAUGUAUUCUUAUGAAUUCUACCUAAUUUUGCAGUUCAAUACUUUCAUCCUGAACACCAUUCCAGUAUUUGUUACAGUUGCCUCAUUUGGGGUGUAUACUCUUCUUGGAGGGGAUUUAACACCUGCAAAAGCAUUUACCUCACUUUCAUUGUUUGCAGUGUUGAGGUUUCCUCUGUUCAUGCUCCCCAAUUUGAUUACUCAGGUGCAAUACUCCCUAAGCUUUAUGUCUUUUCUAUCACUUGGUAGUUGGUAGUCUUUUCUCAAUGUGGCUAUAAGAUAAUCGAAACUGUCCUCAGAGUUUGAACUUUGAAGCUUGAAUAAAUUGAAGUACUUAGCCUUGUAUAUAAAGAAAAUUAGAUUUAUCAAAUAUUAAAGUUGAACCUUGGCACCAUGAUAAGUUUGUCUCUGUCAUGGGUUCAAGCCACAAAAUUAGCCUCUCAUCUUAUAUGUAUGGUGCUACUGCUACGCACGAGUUCAUUUAUGGGAGCCUUCAACAGUUAUACUUGCUGCAUUUGGGGGUUUAUAUCUAGCUUCUUGUAUGCUUUGCUAAUAUCAAUGACAAAGUCACUGUGACUAACCUCAGUGAGGGGUUGGAGUGAUACUACGGGUCCACUGUGACUAAACUAAGUGAGUUGUUGCUCACCGUCGCUAAAGUUGACUUGGGUAGUGUUUGUUAUGAUGUAGAAAAUAUAGGCUCAUGCUCUUUUUCAUGUGAGCAUUCCAUUCUACCCACAUGGCAAAAUCUUGUAAAAAUAUACAUGGAGAUAGAUUCACAAAUAGAAUUGAAGGUACUUAACAAGCACAUCAUUCUUUUCUAAUGCCUGCUAUCUAUUUUUUUUCUGCAGGUUGUGAAUUGUAAUGUGUCACUUCAACGUUUAGAGGACCUACUUCUAGCGGAAGAGAGAAUUCUUUUGCCAAAUCCACCUAUUGACCCAGGGCUGCCAGCUAUUUCGAUCAAGAAUGGAUACUUCUCUUGGGAUUCACAGGUUUCAUAUCAUAAUCUUGUCUUAUUUUGUUAAUAUGGUUUUGCAUCUUUUUAGUUAAACUUGAGGGCAAAAGGACUACUCUCUUGUUCAUCGUUUCUCUCUUUGAUGCUUGUCUUGGCAAUGGUCUCUACCGAAUGUCACGCACUUAGCUAGUUUUGUCUAAGUCGUGUGGUACUUUUGUGUGUCCGUCCGCAAAGGUUAACAUCCCCGAAACCUCCUAUAGUCCCUUAGGAUCUACAAAAGAGAAACCGGGUUAGAGAAAGCGUUUCACUCGGGAUCCACAAGCAAUCAUUUUAGCAAACACUUUAUAGCUAAUGCAAAUUACAAACAAACUUCCCAAGCUCUGAACGGUCGUACAACAAAGGGUCCAAAAUGGUUCACUACGGACCGAAAUCCCCACAAGUGCCCACAUGACACAACAUUUGUUUACGAUAUAAAGACGACCACCAAAGCCAAAGAAAAUGAGACUGUUAAGCCUACUGUCAGCCCUUUAUAUGUUGUGCAAAGCAUGAAUAAAACCGAAAGACACGGACAUACAUGGGUAUUAUAUCAAACACCCCGUUUACAAUUUUGUCUGUGACAUUCUCCCUUACUUAUUCCUUCGACAUCCUUGUCGAAGUCUUUGCAGACGCUGCAUCUCCUUGCCUUUGCUAUGUCUUCAAUCUUCUGCUCUAGUUGCAAUGCGCCUCUUGUCUCCCAGUUGUACUCCGUUGCUAUUAUUGAGUAGUCGAACUUUGAUCCGCCAUGCUGCUUCAACUCGCCAAUGAUGCCGACUCUGGUAUGGGGUCGACUGAGUUGUGCCGAUCCUUGUUGUUUCUUGUGGAUCCCUCAGAUGAAGGAAAAGACCAUCCUUAGUAUAUGCUAAUCUCUCAAAUCCCUCAUGUCGCUUGAACUAGGUGGAUGCUUAUUGGAGUUUUAACGAGCAUUACCUCGCAGACAUUAAAGUUUUUGGGUCCUUCCUCCGUAAAAUUUGUCAUUCGAUUCUUCUUCCACUUAGUCGUCACUUCCAAGUUGGUUCGCAUCACUUCCGCUUUCGAUUGGUAUUCUGUUGGGAAAUGAAGUGGAUAAUCUACUCUUAGUAGCACUGAUCACCAUUGGUGAGGAUUUGACAACUAUUGUCUUCUAUUAGCUUUCUAGUAAGGGUCUUUGAACAUGUGCAGAGCUUCUAUGCUAGAUAGAUAAGAGAAUUGGGGUACUCGGUUUCGCCCAUUCUCUUAAGGGUUGAGAAGACAAAGGUUACUUGACUUCGCCCGCCUCAUCGAGGGUUGUACUCUAUGCAUCGAGUUGGUUACUAGCUUUCGCUCACUCUUUUGCUCACACUUCUGAAGCACUCGAAGUGUUUUCACUCCUUGCGUUGAGUUAGCUACUGUGAUUCACCUUCUCAAUGUCAUUAAACAUCUGGAAUGCAAGAAGCUUUCACCCCAACUUGGAGCAAGUCUCUAAUAGUUUUGUUCGUCUCUAGGAUUGUACCAUCUUCUCCAUCAUUUUUGUUACCUACUCCUUUGAGUUGCAAAGGUACAGCACCGCGUACUGCCUACUUCGUUCCUUGGUCGAGCACUCUUUCAUCGACGCGAAGUCCUCCACUUUCGGCUAUCUUGAUGAGAUGCUUGUUGACACCGGUCUUACGAAGUUCCCUGCCCUCUGCUCUUCUGUGUUGUCUCGGUACUUGGAGUUUGCCUCUGCAUUCUUCACAUCUUCAUUCCCUUUUACGACCAAGCGUUCUCCCUCCAUGAGAACAAGGGAUCGAUGACUUCACGAAAAUCCCGUCUCUGCGAUACCAUGGCAUUGUCAUGCCCAUGGCCCUACUAUCCAUUACCUCGCAUCUGCGUCCCUUUCUAACCGAUGCUUUGUGGCACUAUGACACUCCUCCGAGUCCACCUCCAUUCUAACCGAUGCUUGGUUUUUGGGUAGCUAAGUCCCUCUAGACUUGUCGUCUUUUCCUUGCCCCUUUCAACCACCCGCUUCAACACAUCUGUGUUCUCCGAGCAGCUCCCCUUGGUCGAUGGAAAGAUAGAUUGUAACUCCCAUGCAUGGCCAUCGCCACCAUGUUGUAGGGUUCGCACCUAUUUUGUUCUCCUUAUCUUCCUUGGUAGUAACGUUCGCUUACUUGGCCUUGUCCUCUGACUUGCCAGGCUCCCUAAAGCGAAUAUGAGCUUUGGAGCAGUCCAACUCUUCAACCGCUCCGAUCAUACCUCUGUAUGAUUAAGUCCCACCUAUGGGACUCAUUGGUACUUGCAUUCGAAAUUCUCCAUCGGUAGUACAUAGCCCUCAUAUGUCGAUAACCAAGGCUUUUAUCCGAUGCAAAAUUCGAUGCACGCACGGAAGACCCGCCUCUACGAUACCAUAGCAUUAACUCCUUGAAUCCAUAGCCUUUAUUACCGUCGUGUGGUUCACCGAAGUGGAGCUUCCAAUAGCUCCUGAUCAUACCUCCGUAUGAUCUAGUCCCUCGCGGGACUAGUUUCAUGUGUAUCGCAUUGCCACGAACUGUUCUAUCACGAUCCGGUGCACUAUGUCGCCUCCUGGUGACAUAUUCAUUGCAUUCUGAUCAUUGUGGGAUGAACUCGGAUUGCGAUCCUUCCAUGUGUGGCCUCUGCCAACAUAUCGCAUGGCCUCUUCCACCUUCGAUUGUGUUCACUCCACUGGCAAUCGACCUUCGUCCACCCGCACUUGGGUCACACCCAACCGAAACAUAGCUCUAGGACAGCCCGUCGCGUAGCAGCUCCUGAAGUCUAUUGACUUCGCUAAAAUUGGUGCACCAUUGUCUGGAUCCUGGGCCUCUGCCCUCCAGUAGCACAAUCUCCGCUACGCACUAUUUCCUUCAUGGCAACUUGAAUGACAGCACUGUGACAUAUUCUUCAAGAGUACCCGCCUCCGCGUCCUCUUGCCUCGUGUCAAGGCCUUCCGAACCCAACUUUACCUCUGCAAGUUAAGUCGCCUUGGUUCCUCUAUCAAAUGGUUCUCCGAGAUAAGGUGCAUAUGCCUCGAAGCUCCCUUCGUUUUUGGCACCAUGUAGGAUGAGUCCGCUCCAUCGGAAUGAGGGACCCAUGGAACGACAUGAUCCUGAUCUUGCCUCCACAAGAGUUCAUGUCUUUGACCUCUGUCCAAGGAAAGCUUCAUGCCUUCGUUUUAUAUUCCAUCUUCUAUGUCGACUCCCUUCGUGCGACCUGGGUACUUCACCAAAUUACAUUUAAAUUGUUCCGCUCCUCGAUUUGCAUUGAGUUGAUGGUGGUCCUCGCGCCCACUAUUCCACUGGUCAGCCCUCCGUUGAGUCCGAUCUCCAUAUCGGCUCCAAGUGUGCCUUCAUUUUGUGUUGCCUUGGGUCGCUCCCCCACUUGAUCUCACAAUGCAUCCACUAAUGCAUUACCUCAUGCGAGAUCAUGUGAUGACUCCUCACCACUCACUCUGUCUAUUGAGCUUUGUGCGGUUAUUGUCUCGAGGUACUCCUCAACAUAUGCGGUCCGUUGCGUAUGAUUCUCCCUCUGGAAAACCGGGACUUGUCCCUCCAAGGUAUCUGUCCCAUUGGAGCAACUUCUCUCUUUGUAUCCUUCCCUCUGGAAGUUUUGGAGACCACCAUCCCUUUGUACUACUCCGUCUUACUGAACAAAUUGUGCAUUGUUCUACCUUUGCAAAUGCACUUGCUAUAUCGGGACUCUUCGCCAAUACAACACCUGCUGCACCCCUCAAGGCCUAGCAACAUGCUGAACUCGCUGCACACUUCAGCCUCCUACGGAUGUAUCCUUCUCAUGCUGAAGAGAAAGUUCUAAUGCUCCAUGGCGUCGAGUUUCGAUCGCCUUGGGAUGGCCACGAACAUUACAUCAUCCGCAUACAAGCCCUUGCAUGAGUACCGAAUUCUUCGAGUUAGCAAUUCCCCUUACCUCUGUGAGCUUUGCACAACUCUUUCAGUCGCUAAACAACCCAUUUCACUUUGCACGGUCUCAUCCUUUACUAAGCGCCUUGCUUGUCUUGAGCACCAUCAAGUAUGGUUGUCAAUGUUGAGCUAUAGCUCGAACUCAGUCAUUUUAACCUUUGUGCGCUACGCAUUUUUCCCAACUUGCUUGUCCUCGUGGUGCCUCUUGCGCGAAGGGUUGGGUAUUCCUCUGAAUGCCAAUCUCAAAUGUCCACUCCUCUUAGCGACUUCUUUUCCCUACAUCUCCAUGCUCAUUUCCUCCAAACGGUCGCGCGUGCUAGUUGCCCUCAACGCAGCCCCGUUAGGUCUCCCACGUUCGCAUGCCAAGUGUUUUUAUGGGUGCUUGUCUCGCUCCGAUACCAUAUGUCACACACUUAGCUAGUUUUGCCCAAGUCGUGUAGCACCCUUGCGUGUUCGUCCGCAAACCGAAACCUCCUAUAGUCCUUUAGGACCUACAAAAGAGAAAACGGGUUAAAGAAAGUGUUUCACUCGGGAUCCACAAGCAAUCAUUUUAACAAGCACUUCAUAGCUAAUGCAAAUUACAAACAGACUUCUCAAUCUCUGAAUGGGCGCACAACAAAGGGUCCAAAAUGGUCCCACUACAGACUGAAAUCUCCACAAGUGCCCACAUGACACAACCUUUGUUUGUAAGCUAAAGACGACCACCAAAACCAAAGAAAAUGGGUCUGCUAAGCCUAUUGUCAGCCCUUUACAUGCUGUGCAAAACAUGAACAAAACUGAAAGACAUGGACAUACAUGAGCAUUACAUCAAACACCCCGUUUACAAUUUUGUCCGUGACAAAAUAUACUAAAUUUCACAUCCUUUUUUUUAUAAUUAAGUUGAUUUUUUUUGGUUUGGCUUAUGUGUCAAUGAACUCAGACAACAUUACUGUUUGCAAGAUUAGCCAUCUUCAGUGAUGGCACUAAUUCCAUGCCUUGUUGCAAUAAACCCUCCAUACUAGAGUCAUUUAUGCAUGUCAACAUCAGAAUCAUCUUAGUAACUGAUUAAUCGAUCUCCUAUACAUAUAUUUUUUCUAAUCAACCCUAGAUUAUUCUUGUUGGGUCCCUUUUUAAUGUGAUCCCUUAAAUUGAGCUCGGAUCCUCUUUAGUUCUUUCGCCUGUCGUAUUUUUUCUGUUUCUUAAUAAAUUUAUGACUGCCUACAUAUGCAUAUUGCAUUUAUUUUCUAUUUUCUUUUAUAUUUCAAAAAAGCUGAAAUUUAAUUUGACAAUCUUCAAGUAGAUUUGGAAGCAUUCUAAGUUUCAAACACAAUUAUAUGUCCUCAUUCCUCAUUCCUCAGAGACAAAAUGGUUACCAGUUUAUAAAAAAUCAAAUAAGACCACAAAAAUUGUACUAGCUACAAAUAUUACUUGUAUUUUUUUAUGACUAAUAUACUUGAAUUUUUAUGUCCUAUAUGGUCCUAAAUUACCUACAACAUAUUCUUUAGUGCAACAGAAAUGUAAAGGAAGACUUUGUUGACAGCUCCUGUUUUACUGAAAUGAUCUUGAAGUAGUUAAGUAAAACAAAAUUUUGAGAGUAACAAAAUAAAAUUAGGAGUGAUACAAAUUACAAAAAUCUUGUGUGCCAAUUGGUGAUAGCUUCCUGCUGUGGAAUUUUAAAGAUUGUAAAGUCAUACUUGCCAGUUGGUGAUAUUUUCCUGCUGCAGGAUUCUAAUGGUUUCAAAGUUGUAUGGCAUAAACUGACUGGCGCAUGGCUGCCUUUAUAGCACCACACUAUAUAUAUUGUGAAUUCAGUCUGCUUGAGUAUUAAGAAUGUUAUGGAUGGAUGAUACCAUUUGUUGGGACCAUUCUUUUUUAGUAUCUAUCAUGGAUGUGAUAGUUAUGAUGGUUACGAGAUACUUAUAAUCAUUCCUUUGUGGCUUGUGAGAAAUAUGUUUUACUAAUCUUUUGUCUAUACAAUAUAACAAGCUCGGCCAUUGUGCAUCUAGUCACUUAUGUUCUCAAGAUUUUCAUCAUGUGUAACAUUAAUUUUAUUGCACUAGUCUUCUAUAUGCCACAAUCCAUUUUAUACGCCAUAAUGUAUUUCUAAAUUUUCUUUAAAUGCUAAUUAUCUAACAUAUCAAGCUCAGGCAGAGAGGCCUACACUAGCAAAUGUCAAUGUGGAUAUACCUGUUGGUAGCUUGGUUGCAAUAGUUGGAAGUACUGGAGAAGGAAAAACAUCUCUAAUAUCAGCAAUGCUUAGAGAACUUACACCAGUGGCUGGAACUGAUACAUCAGUGACUAUUCGGGGGACUGUUGCUUAUGUUCCUCAAGUUUCAUGGAUAUUCAAUGCUACUGUAAGUUAUAUUUAUGUCUUUAUUCAUUAUUUGUCAAAUAGACAACUAUUCUUAAAUUUUGCUUGUGCAAGACAGGUACGUGAGAACAUAUUAUUUGGAUAUCCUUUUCAACCAUCGCAAUAUGAGAAGGCAAUUGAGGUUACCUCAUUGCAGCAUGACCUUGAUUUGCUUCCAGUAAGUGAACAUGUCAUAGCAAUGGGAUGUGUUUCUUUUCCUGACUUGUAACUCCCUGCUCUCUCUGUCACCGACUCACUCACACAAACACAAAUGGUGUAUUCCGACAUUUUUCAGUGCAUGAUGGGUUUCUUACAAUCACUAUCCCUAUGUAUACACUCAUGCUACUUCUGUUGCAACUAUGAAAAUAUGUACAUGCAUGAAAUAGAACUUCUCACCUGGGAGUUCCUAAGAAUUUAGAAUCAGUUGACAUGUAUGCAUCAGCCAUCAAAUAAGUUGCUGGACUAGCCUUUGUGCUUUGCAAAAUAAUCUAAUAAGCCCCCUUUGUUCUAGCUCUUUUUUUUUUAGGAACAUAGAUGCUUAAUUUCUUCUUCAUUGUGCUUUGUCAGGGUGGUGAUCUUACAGAGAUUGGUGAAAGGGGAGUGAAUAUCAGUGGUGGACAAAAGCAAAGAGUUUCAAUGGCAAGGGCAGUAUAUUCAGAUUCAGAUGUAUAUAUAUUUGAUGAUCCUUUGAGUGCAUUGGAUGCUCAUGUUGGUCGGCAGGUACAAUUUGCCAAAAUUGUCAUCAGCUGACUUAUGCCCUGAUUCUAUCUACUUGCUGUUGUGGUCGUAUAUUGUUAAAGAGACAUCUUGCUUAGCAUUCACCAUAUUUCAGUGACAAAGUCUCGUACCAAUUCAAUGUUUUAUCUACAAUAGUUAAAUUCACUCCUUUUAUCAUAUUGGAUGUAGCUACAUGUAUCAAGAGCACUAUCAAUCCAGCACUGGGCCUAGAUAUGUGCAAAUGCAUAUCUAGGUGCUUCCAAUUGGUCUUUUUCUUCAAGCAUAAAGUAUCUGCACCUGGUAAGGACACAAUAAAAGGGGAAAAACAUAUUUGAGACCAAGGAAUACAAUCUUGCAUAAACUGACAUGUAUCUACUGGUAUUUACUAGUUCAGGGAUAAACCAUCAUGCAGAUUGCAGACUAUCUGACAUUAUAUAUGUAGUAUAGGGCUUGCCGCUUGAUAAAUCGUAUGAACCGUGUAGUAAGCCCCUUGCUAGUUAACUCUAGAAACCUUCUGCACCUCUUCUUGCAUCACCCGUUGUCCCCAGCCUAUGGGUAGUACUUCUUUCCUUCUCUCCCCUUUUGCUCCUUGUCCUCCUUGUCCUCCUGCUUUUCCUUUCUGGUACUGUGGUAUGUACCACAAUAUCAUGUAUCGAUUUGUUGGUUCAUACCGGACAAAUACCAGUCCAGCCAGCGACUGACAUGGCUCUAGUAUCAGAAUUACAACCGUUGUUUAAAAUAAAGUAAAUGACAGGAACUGGCCACCUACUUAUGUGUUGCUAACUCACAACCUGUCUUGUUUGAGUACUGAGUAGCCUUCCCUCCUGCUACUGGAACUUUAAGUUAUUGGAUAAAUACAAAUGUUUUGUGUUUUAAAUUUCUAGUUGAGUAUGCAAAUAGUCUGUCCGUAGACUUCAGAAAUCAUGAUAUCAUUAUCCACAAAUUAGUAUUUCUAUAUUCUGAUUUUUCUGUCUAUUAUGAUCCAGGUUUUUGAUAAAUGCAUCAACGAUCAACUGAGGAAUAAAACUCGAGUCCUGGUAACUAAUCAGUUGCAUAUUCUUCCACAUGUUGACAAGAUUAUUCUCGUUCAUGAAGGAAUGGUGAAAGAGGAGGGUACCUUUGAGGAACUCAGUACUAGUGGAAUACAUUUUCAAAAAUUAAUGGAAAAUGCUGGGAAAAUGGAGGAACAAGUAGACGAAAAGCAAGGUGGUAACUCUGAAGAGACUGCAAAAUCAGCUGAAAAUGGAGAUGUGUCAAAGACAGUGAAUGCUUUGUUGAAGAGUGAAGAGAAAACAAAUAGAGGGAAAGAAGGAAAAUCUGUGCUUAUCAAACAAGAGGAACGUGAAACAGGUGUUGUUAGUUUGAAAGUUCUUGCAAGGUAUUAAAUCUUAUUUACAUUGCAUAACUUUGUGAUUACAAUAUAAAUAUAAUAUUUUGUUUUUUCACCCUUCUGAAAUCGUUGAUUCAUCAUAUUAUUGGACACCGAAUAAAACUUUACAAUGUUACGUUGUAGAUGUAACUCUGAUAAUCUUGUUAACUUAUUCAUUGUUUGACAUUCUGUGCACUUUCUUGAAGGAUGACUCUGAAGUUCAUCUUAUAUGCAAUGCUUGUGUUGCAAUUAUAGCAUUGGUCAAAACUUUGAUUUUACAGGGCUUUCUUGAUACUUGUGGGAUUAUGUAUAUAUGGAUAUUGGAUACUGAUAUGACAGUGCUAAUACACCAAUUCAGGAAAUCUUGAAAAUAUAUGAUAUAAUAAUCAUGGAUAUGAUAUUAAAAAUAUUUGAAUUGCAUAUAUGACAGAGCUUGAUAUUUAUUUGUAAUGUCAAAGAAUGUAGUCAGGUAUCAUAAUAAAUAACAAGAAGUAUUUAGCUGACUAUUCAUCUUGAAUUUUUAGUAACAUAUUACUUCAAAUAUUAAUCUUACUUCACUUACGAUAACUUCUCCAAAUCCUUUUAAGUUUGUUUAUCAUACUAUGAUAUUUAAGACAAACAACACAAAGCAAUUUAUCAAAUUAUAUAUUAUUUCAUUAACAAUCUGAGAUCAACAUUCAACAAAAACAAAGUUCUUGCAAGUAGUCUCUAUCAAAGAUUACCUAGUAUCCUAGAUGCAUUGGAUCUAGUUAAUGGUUAUUUUGAAAAUGUAUAUUGCAAGGAGCAAUCUGAUAUGGAUAUGGCAAGUAAUCUGGAGUAUCCUUGUUUCAUAUAGCCUGAGUUCUUAAUCAUUUUAUGCUUUGAUUAUUUGUCUUGAUAAAUUGGUGCUCUAUCUAAUAUCCAGAGAACUUUCUGUGCUCUAUUUGUAUUAACAAAAUUAACAUUUUGAUGUCUUACUACAUGUUCUGUUCUUCUAAGUUCUUAUAUAUUAUGUUAUGAAUCUCUCUCUUUAUUUUUGUAAUGUUUUAUUUCACAAUUCUUGCCUCUUAUUUCUUUUACAAAAACUCUGCUGUGGGCUUUGCUUGGGCAUUUCAUGACAGAAGAUUAUGAAGAUAGGUAUUCUAAAUGUUUCCAACAACUUUGCAUGAUUAACAGCUACUACUUUAAUCCAAGGCAUUUGCAACCAAAGUUUCAAGUAGUAAUCCGAUAAUAGUUUUUGAUCUUCAAAGAUUUAAAGCUCUGUCCAAUGCUGGUUUUGGUAAUCUAUUGGAUUGAUAUGGAACCAUAAACCAAAUGGUAUAUGGAUCCAUGCCACUCGGUGUCACUUGAAAUAAAAACUAAAAAACUAUUUUGAUGGGUAUUGCACCAUAUGACUUGAUAUUGUUCUGUAGUCAAACUGAUAAACACUGAUUAGUAUGCGUCAUACUAACUAAAUUUUAGAACUAUGCUGAGUUGUACCCAGUAUCACUUAAUAAAAAAAGCAGUAUAUUGAGUUAUACCAAGGUGUAUGGUUAGUUAGGUGCAUGGUUGGAUUGGUAAAUAUGGGGCAGUACAUAUUGGUCCGACUGACAUUUUAAACCAUUAGUGCCACGAGUUGGAAAUUCCUAUGUCACCAGAUUAGUGCAUAUGUUACUCAAGAUUCAUGUCAUGUUCAGCUUUGUUUUUGCCCUUGUACUUGAGUGCGGUUAAUGUUUACCAAAUUUGUUUAAUUGUAUUUUUUGCAGGUACAAGAAUGCAUUGGGUGGGAUGUGGGUUGUUCUGAUGCUAUUCUCUUGCUAUGCUUUGACUGAAGUUCUCCGAGUCUCAAGUAGCACAUGGUUAAGUGUCUGGACAGAUCAGAGCUCUCCGAAGAGCCAUGGUGCUGGAUUUUACAAUCUGAUUUAUUCAGUUCUUUCUCUUGGUCAGGUACAGAAAAUUCAGAACUAAAAUGUUAUUAAUUGCUCACAGUUUACAAUCUCUGGCAAUUCUAAUUCGGGGUAGAAUCUUUGCUUAAACCGAAGUUUCUCUGAAUUCUAACUCCAGGUUCAAAUGUUAAUUUAGGUACUAGUGACGCUGACAAGCUCUUAUUGGCUAAUUAUGUCAAGUCUUUAUGCAGCCAAAAGGCUGCAUGAUGGCAUGCUUCACUCUAUAUUAAGAGCUCCAAUGGUAUUCUUUCACACCAAUCCGCUUGGACGCAUAAUUAACAGGUUUGCAAAAGAUCUUGGUGACAUUGAUCGCUAUGUUGCAGUCUAUGUUAACAUGUUCCUGGGACAAGUCUCACAACUUCUCUCAACAUUUGUUUUGAUUGGCAUCGUGAGCACUACCUCUCUGUGGGCAAUAAUGCCCCUUUUGAUUUUGUUCUAUGCUGCCUAUUUAUACUAUCAGGUAAAGAUUUCUAGUCUAUUUAAUAGUUCAGGAAAUGCAGUUUCCUUAUUUUCAUUUAACUAAAUGCUUGUAACACUUGUUUCAUGGUCAUUUAAAUUUUUAAUAUUUUACAGAGUACAGCACGUGAAGUAAAGCGUCUAGAUUCCAUUACCAGAUCGCCAGUGUAUGCACAAUUUUCCGAAGCAUUAAAUGGUUUAUCAACAAUUCGAGCAUACAAAGCAUAUGACAGGAUGGCCAGCAUCAAUGGUAAAUCAAUGGAUAAUAAUGUAAGAUUCACGCUUGUUAAUAUGAGUGGUAAUCGGUGGCUUGCUAUUCGGUUGGAGACACUGGGAGGCAUCAUGAUAUGGUUCACAGCUACUUUUGCUGUCAUGCAAAACCAACGUGCAGAAAAUCAGAAAGCAUUUGCAUCAACUAUGGGUCUACUUCUUACUUAUGCUUUAAACAUUACCAACCUAUUGACAGCUGUUCUGAGACUUGCAAGUCUCGCUGAAAAUAGUUUAAAUGCUGUCGAGCGAGUUGGGACAUACAUAGAAUUGCCUUCUGAAGCUCCUCCUGUUAUUGAAAGCAACAGACCACCUCCAGGUUGGCCAUCAGCUGGAAUUAUCAAGUUUCAAGAUGUUGUCCUUCGUUAUAGGCCAGAGCUUCCCCCUGUUCUUCAUGGCAUAUCCUUCACAAUUGAAGGAAGUGAAAAGAUUGGAAUAGUUGGUCGUACUGGGGCUGGAAAGUCUAGCAUGCUUAAUGCUUUGUUCCGCAUUGUGGAACUAGAAAGAGGAAAAAUAUUUAUUGAUGAUUAUGAUAUAUCUAAGUUUGGUCUUUGGGAUUUGCGUAAAGUCCUUGGAAUUAUACCACAGUCACCGGUUCUGUUUUCAGGUAUUAUACUUCCUCCAUCAUUAUGGGCUUGAAUUUAAAAAUAAAGUUUUUUGUUGUUUGCUUAAGUUCUGUUACUUAAACAAUAUGAAACACUGGAUAGUAGUCUUCUAUUAGUGGUAUGAAUCUUCCUGAAGCAUCUAGCACAAAAUCUGACAAUCAGGGCAUGUUACCUUUCAUAGGUUUCCUGAAUUUAUUAUAAAAUUUUAGUUUUACGGUCAUUAAUUUGGAACAUUAAUUUGGACCAUCUAGGUGUUUUUGUGUCAGUUUAAUGUGACCUGAAUUGAAUGAUUUUUUUAAUAGUUGAAAGGCCAAUAAUUAGAUUGGUGACCUCUCAAGGGCUUUUAUUUGACUGGGUAAAUCACAAGAUAUAUCAAAUUCAAUUAUCAAAUAGUCAAAAAUUUCAAGCGAAAUGAAAACAUUGGGUAAAUGACAAGACACUGAAUCUUGAUAUUCUUUUUGCAUUCAUGGAGACUGUUGAAAUGCUUUCAUGGCUUAUUAGUUUGAUUAUGCAUUGUUGAAGCAGUUUCAUGUGCAAGAGUUUUAACUACUUGAAAUAGUUGAAGUUUCGGCUGUGAACUUCCUGCAUUAAUCCAAGAAUCUAUCAUUUUAAGUGCUGUACCCUAGGAUUUUAAAAGAAUCUAACUUUUCAUUUUUCCAUAUAGACAGAACCUGUUCAUUAUUCCCUAUAUAUAUCUGUAUGGUGCUGUUUUGCUCUAUUUUUGUUUGUGUUUUUGACUGUCUGGCCCAAAAACUACCCAGGCACUGUCCGGUUUAAUCUGGAUCCCUUCAAUGAGCACAAUGAUGCAGAUCUUUGGGAGGCUUUGGAGAGAGCACAUCUAAAAGAUGUCAUUCGGAGGAAUACAAUGGGACUUGAUGCGCAGGUUUGGUGCAUUCUACUCUUUAUACCAUCUAUUUAUCUUCUCAUUAUAUGCAUUGAGUUGCUGUUAUUGUGGACAUCUAGUGACUUAUGACUAGAAAACCUCAGCAUCAAAAGAAUCAGAAACAAAUAAAUACUUUUGAUUCUUCCUGAUAAUGUUUACUUCUGGCUUUUCAAUUUGUUGAUUGGAAUUUGAAAUACACUGUUUAAGGUAUAUCAAGUAAAUUCCUAUUAUAAAUUAUGCUUUCUCUUCAGCAUGUUAUGAUUGUCUCCUCAAUUUUACAUAGUUACAGUUUUAAAUAUUUAGUUUCUUACAUUAUUUGGUCUUGUGUGAACCUAUCUCUCUAUGAUUAUCUUUUUGGACUUAUUGCCGUAGAUGCAAUAUCAGUGGCUUACAAGAAUACAACAGAAGUCGUAUUUUUGUUGCCUAUUUGACACCAAGGGUGAGGGUGAAAUUUAGUUCUCUCAUAAAUUCAAAUGCUAAAGUGAUAUAGAACAAGGGUAUAUACCAUGUAGCUUCUACUGAUAUGAUUAAUUUUUCCCUUAUCCUCAGGAUGAUUUUGCACAAGUAUUUUGGCUGAACUAUUCAACCUCUUAUUGUUGUAGGUCUCAGAAGCAGGGGAGAAUUUCAGUGUUGGGCAACGGCAACUUCUGAGUCUUGCUCGAGCAUUGUUAAGGAGAUCGAAGAUUCUUGUUCUUGAUGAAGCAACAGCAGCAGUGGAUGUCAGGACUGAUGCUCUUAUCCAGAAAACUAUAAGAGAAGAGUUCAAAUCUUGCACAAUGCUCAUCAUAGCUCAUCGAUUAAAUACCAUCAUCGACUGUGACCGGCUUCUUCUCCUCGGUGCUGGCAAGGUAUUCUGUGAGACUCCAGUUGCCGCAUGACAAUCUUACUAGGAUAACUUGUGUGGGAACCCAAAGCCUUUUUUUCAAUAUCUGGAGCAUGUUUUUAUCUGCUUAUUAUGGACUCAACAACUAAUUGUUCAGAAUUUAACCUUCAGAUGUGGAUAGCUAUUAGCAUGUUGAACUUACAAAAAAAAUAAAAAUACAGCAUGUUGGUUUAUUGUCAUAGAAUUUAUUAACCACUAGUAGCUAGAUUCAAACCUUUCUUGGACAGCUCAUAUCAUUUUUUAUGCAUCUGAAUGCAUAUAAAUGGGGACACCAUCAGUGCUUUGGAAGAGAAAAGUUGGGGAAGGAGGUUUUGGAGGGGGUGGGUGGGAGUUGAGGGGUGACAAGAAAUCUAGGAUAAGUUUACCUCAACUCAUGGAGAUCCGAUACGUAUUUCUUUUACAAUAUAAAUUUAUCUAUUUUUGUUUAAAUAAAAUGGGUGAUUUUUAGCCACUGGUUGCUGUCUUUUCUUUGAAUUAUUUUUCUUUCUGUUAGAUUUUUGAAAUGAAUACACAGUCAUCAUCUCAGUUUUAUGGUUUUCUAAUCAAGCAGUAAGAAUUCACCAAUUUAUUGCAAAAGCAGAAGCACUUUUGUACUUGUGGCAUCAUAUUCUUGUUAGCAAUGGCAACUCUUGCCUCCUCCAUUGACAACAUCUGGGCUUAUCCUUCUACUUCUGGCAAAAAUUUACAUCUUAAGAUCUCCAUGGUCCAUGCUCAUUUCAUGUGAAAUAGCUUUGCUUAAGAAGAAUCAUGUGAAGAAUUAUUUGUGUUCAAGAGCUUUGACUAACUUGAUAGUACACAAUGAGUAUUGUCAAAAUUAUCAAGUUCAAUGCAAUCGCCUUGGCAGCAGAGCUAUUUGGUUAUUAUCAAAUGGCACUGUUGAGCUCAAUGCUAAAAAAAUAAAUCCAUCUAGCCAGCCUAAAUAGUUCGGACAUUACAGCUUGUCGAUGUUGCAUCAAUCGAUGGUAUUGACCCCUACAAUUCAGCAUGGAAGAUUGGUAUCGUGAUACUGUCUCAACCCUCUUGUGAGUGAGACAAAGUGGAUAUUAAUUCUUAUAUUGAUCAUUGCAUUUAACUAGGUUUCUUCAUAGCAGUUGAAAUCUUUGUGGUUUGGAAACUUAUGUUGGAAAUGUGAUUCCUAAUAUUUAGAAUCAUGACUCAGUGCUGAAAUUGGUACUUCAUUAUAUUGAAAGUGUAUUGCCUUUCUGCUCUCUAUGUAAAUAUGUUGUUGGCAAAAAAAAAAAGGAAAUGCUCAUUCAAUUAAACAAUAACUUGCCUUUUCUGAAUCUUCUUCUAUGGAAAUACCGGUGUGUACUGUUUAUGUAUAAACAGAGAUGCAUACAUAUGUUGAUGCUUACUGUGCAUGCUUUAAUACAUUCACGCCUAGAUCUGAAUCCACAUGUACUUCAGCCUACUUAGAUCUGAAUUGAUAUACUGGUGUUCUGCUCAGACUCCUGUCAAGUCUCAUGCUUCUCUCUCAAUUACUAUGUUAAAAGAUUACAGUUAUCAGAUUUCAUCAAUGUAUAUCACCCGACUUCAUCUGCAGGUUUUGGAAUUUGACACCCCAGAGACCCUUUUAUCAAAGGAUGACAGUGCUUUCUCCAAGAUGGUUCAAAGUACUGGAACUGCUAAUGCACAAUACCUACGGGUACUAAUACAUGUCUUUUUCUUUCUGUUAGUUAUUUACCUCUUCAAAAGAGUUUUCAUGAGCAAUAUCUUAUCUUGUUUUGUCACUUUAAUCUAGAAGUAUGGUUCAUCACAAAUCUUAGUUGUCAUAUAGGUGGUCAACUCUUUUAGUCAAGCCUAUAAAGUUAAAAAUUAGUAAGCAUGUUUUAUCCAAUAUGAAUCAUUUUUUUGUAUUUCUUUGGUUUUAGGUAUUGACUUUUUCCUUAAUUGUUCAUUCUCACUUUAGAUCCUAGGAGGAAUAAUAAUUCUUAAAAUGACUUGGUAUUGAGAGUUCAAGUUGUAUUUUGGAAAUUUAGCUUUAUUACCAAACAAGAAAUUUGUAAAUGUCACAGGAAGACACCUUCCACACUCUAAUUUCAUUUUGUAAGCUGCAAAUAUCAUUCAGAGGGUGUUGGUGUCAUGGUGAGGUUGCUCAAUUUUAGGAAUAAGUUAUCUAGGCCCUAGAUAAUCCAUCGGCUCAAGAACAGGUAACCUGUCAUCAAGCUUGGAUACUUCAAAUUUCUUGUGGUGCCUGUGUUGUCUAUGUGUCCAUGUUAAUUGGAUACUUCAUGACAUGUGCAUGAUGCUUCAAACGUAUUCAACUCCUUGUACUAUUGACAUGCAUAUGUCUCGCACGUAUUGAGGAUAUUUAUAACAUGUAAUAAGUCUUCAAUACGUCAAAUUUUGAUAAUGAGCAUCUAAAUAAGUCUUCAAGACAUCAAAUAUCCAUAUGCUUGGCAGCACUAGGAUUUGAAAAUUGUUACCAGCAAUUGUAUGUAUGUUGUUGUGGACCUUUGCCCAAUCAAGUAACGAGUAAUUAUGGCUAUUUUUUUAUUGCUUGCCUUCCUGUUCAGCAUUUUUUUUUAAAUAUGCACUUAUAGCCUUUUGUUUGAUGGAAACAGAGUUUGGUCUUCGAGAACAUGUCUAGCAGGGAAGAGACCAAGAGACAAGAAGGUCAGAGGAGAUGGUUGGCCUCAUCACGCUGGGUAGCUGCUGCCCAAUUUGCACUCGGGGUCAGCCUGACAUCUACGCAGAGUGACCUCCAAGGGCUGGUGAUUGAUGAUGAGAAUAACAUCCUUAGGAGAACAAAGGAUGCUGUUGUGACAUUGCAGAGUGUUUUGGAAGGAAAGCAUGACAACGAAAUUGAAGAAAAGUUGGAAGAAUACCAUGUCCCAAGAGAUAGGUGGUGGUCUUCACUAUAUAGAGUGGUUGAAGGUAACUUCUUUCAACAUAGCUUUACCCGUGACACAUGUUUGAACAUAGACUGCAACAGUCUGCAUGGGUAAUUAAUAUGCUUCGGCUGAUUGCUUGUCAAAAGAGAUACGUUCAUAUGCACCAGAUUCAGCACUCAACAAGGCAUAUUAACAGAUUUUUCAUGUUUAACUUAUACUAAACAAAUAUACUACACGUAACAAGAGGCACCGUGACAGUGAUUGAAAGAAUAAGGUACACAAAAAUAAGUGCAUGUUCCUUUGUUCUACCCUACUAUUCGAUCAAAAAUGCUUGUUAUGUCUCAUUUGCUUCUUGCAGCUUCUAAUGUUACGUUGCUGGUCUCUUUCAGGUCUUGCGAUUAUGAGUAAACUGUCACGGAACCGACUUCAACAGUCAGGUUAUGCUUUUGGAGACAGAUCGCUCGAUUGGGACCAGCUGGAGAUGUAGCAAAUGCAGCUGACCACCAUUUUGCACCUCAAAUCUGGUUGCUGGGAAGUGCAAGGGAAGCUUAUGGUGCCUCCACUUUUGUCCAUUGAAGUGACUCUUAAUCUUUCUUUUGCUCUCUUCUUUUCCACAGCUGAUACUGAAGACAUCCAUUAUUGGAAUUAUAAUUGUAAUUGUAAUUCUUCUCUCUCAAUCAUCGGUAUUGAGAGGAUGCCAAGGCACACAGAUAGGUAACAGGCUUUUGCAUGUUUGUAAAACUCUGCUGUGAUGGACAUACAUUGUCUUCAAACACUCUCUUUAAUGUCAAAGAUGCUAUUGCAAGGAUUUAUGAGUAUCAGAAAUGUAGGUUUCUUGUAUGUGAGAGUUCCAUCCAUCUUUCUUUGACCUGACAAUGUGACACCUUCUGUCCCAUACUUUUUAUCACAUUGUUACUCUGCAUUUUGAUUUGGACUUCGACUUGAUCAUCCAUCUUUGUUGUUUAGAUGAGAUGGCUAAUUAUAUGAUUUUGUUUAUGGAUGGAUGGAUGAAAAAUAAAUAUCUAUUUAAUCGACAUGAGUAUUUAGGUGUACUCAAAACCCAUCGGCUCAAGAACAGGUAACCAACCGGUCACUGACACGUGGACCCCCAAUUCCUAUACUCGGAUAGCGAUCGUGCAGCGGCCAUGACAGCCUCCAUCACAACAAAUCGAAGCGAAACCAAUCAAAACACGACAAUUGAGGAGCUUUUCGACGGCUAUUGAUACUGGCUACCAUGCUGAUGGGCACGGGACACCGGGAAUCCCCACGCCGUCACAUCGGAGUGAAUCCAUAGCUGGGCCCCGACACGACCGUGUCCGUGGGUCUGCUUGCGCCGUCGACCAGCGAGACGUGAAAUGUUGCCUAGGGGAUGCCGUUGGAUUCGCAUGUUCGCGGAUCUUGAAGCAAAGACGCGCAUAUCCAACGGCCAAGGAAGGCGCUGUGAGUCACGAAACCUUGAAAGACGGUGGAAGCAUACGGCUAGAAGUUACCCAAUACUAAAGUUACUCACGUUUGUACCCAGAUUGAAGAGACGUGGGAUCCUUCUUGGGGCCCGCCGGUUGAAUAAUUAUAUCGUUCGUGCUGAGAAAAGAAAGGAAGACACAGUGGGAGUGCUCUCGUUCCCCGUAUCCCUCUUUCCUCUCCGCCUCCGCCUCCGCCUCUGCCUCCGAUCUCCGGGGCUUCCCAGCAUUCGAUCUCGUCGAUCAUGUCCGCAGUAAGCGAUUCUCUUCUCCAGAUUCCCUGAGUCUUCUUUUCGUCGAUUCUGUGAUUCCUUUUCUUCCGAUUGAACUUCCAGCAUCCGGUCCUUUCUAACAAUCGGAGUAGUCAAAAUGCUCUUUUUUCUUCGAAUUUAAUGUAUCUGAUUUUGAUUCUGAAAAAAAAAAAAAAAGAGAAUCAUCAUGAAAAUUUACUCUGGGAAGUUCUGGGAGACGUGCGCUAUGGUUGAGGAUUGGUUCCGUCUUGAGGAUCGACCGAAAUGAUGCGGGUGUGUCUUGAUUUGGUCGAUUGUGAAACUUGAUUGUUGAUGCACGUACGUGGAAGUCAAUGAUCUUUGAUUGGUUACUGUGGAGCCAGUCUUUGCUCUUUAGCACUUUGAUUGGUGUGUUGGAACGUGUAAUUUGUGCUCCUUGUUGGCUUAGAAUUUUUGAUGAAUUAAAUUGUUUAAUUGCUUAUCAUAUAGUGAUCCAGUCCUUAGGAAUUGUGCCAGUAGCUCAAGAUCUAUACAUGCAUGGCCUGUUUAUGUGGGAAAGAUUUUCUUGCAUCAAGAUUUCAAAUUGUGGCGUCUGAGCUAAUAUUAGUAACCUGAGUGCUUAAACAAGCAAACCAAUAAUGUUAUCUAGAAUUUCUUUACUAUUUUUUGGAUCUGUUUUCAUGAUUGAAAUAAUUUGUGCUGGAUAAGCAAUAUACCUUGAUUACGUUCAUUAUUCUUCCUGCUGUUCCCAUUUUAGAACUUUUUAGCAAGCUCAACCUUGGAAUGUAACAGGACAGCAAAGAUUAGACAGAUGAUCCUUUUCUUUUCUGAGUGAGAAACAACAGGAUAUGGACAUGAUAUUACUUGUUAAAUUUGUUUUAUUUUGCCAAAAUCUAAGGGAGAUGGAUCUUUAAUCUAACUUUGAAUGAAAAAGCUGACAUGAUAAACCAUACAAGGCAUCUGAACAUAUGUGAUCCACUUAAAUGUAGACUACAUCUAAUGAAGUCUGAUAUUUAAGCCAACACCUUCUGCUUGGUAUCAACCAAUUCUGUUCCUUGAUGUGGACUCAGGCUUUGCUGGCCAAACUUUUUUUCUUAUGGUUAUGGUCCCCCAGAGAUCACUCUUCAUUUUUCUCCUCUAACACGAUGCAACUCAUCUUUUGGAAAAUCCUGUUCACAACAUAAUAGUCCAGCUUUCUUUCCAUCAUAUAAUCUAUUGGAUGUCCGCCUUCCAGUCAGCCGGUAUAUAUCAUAACUUCUUGCUGUCCACUACUUUUCCGAUUAUACAUUUCCUUGUAUAGCCUCAAUAAAUUUUGUGGAUGUAGAAGGUAUGCUAUGGAGUCUAGUCAUUUCUAAUCAUGCUUAACUGUGUAAUUAAAUAUAAAGCAGUAUACCAUUAUUAAGAAACUGCUUGCUCAGCACAGAUACCAAAUAUUUCUUCUCAAGUGCAUGAUAAUGAUGACUGUAUUGCACAUACACAUAAAGAAGCAUCAAACAUGCAUCAGUGGAUGGCCUAGAUAAUCAUAGCACAAAUGUAAGGAAGUAAUGACAUAAGAUUUACAUAUGAUUUUUCGUGGCAUAUUGUGUUUGACGAUGAUACUAGUAUUUUUCCCUUGCUUGGGUUGAUCAUAAUUGAAACCAGAAAAUGACUGCAUGCUUGCUUCUUCCUUUUCUUGUUUUGGUUGCAAUUAAUAUUCUUACUAGUGUGACUGCCAAAGUACUCUUGAGCGAUUUGGGGACCGUGCUACAUCUUCUACUACUGUUUUAUAUGCUGGACAAUUGUUAUUAAACCAGAAAAUGACUGCACACUUGCUUCUUCCUUUUCUUGCUUUGGUUGCAAUUAAUAUUCUUACUAGUGUGACUGCCAAAGUACUCUUUAAGCGAUUUGAGGGCCGUGCUACAUCUUCUACUACUGUUUUAUAUGCUGGACAAUUGUUAUUACAAGUUGAAAGUUUUAUGUGAAGUGAUUUGUAACCAUUUCCGCUGGCUAGUCUAGGAUUAUCUCAUACAAUUAUCUGUCUGAUAAAUCUUCCUACUACUCUCUGUGCAAGCAAGUUGCCUUUUUUUAAGUGAAGAAUCCUUCAAAAGAAACUAGCCUAUUGAAACCCAACUCUUUAAACAUUGAGCUAGAAUUCAUGAUCGCCUUUAACAGAACGUUAUAUCAAACUUGAAUUUAGCUCUUAGCCUAUAUAUUCUAGAAUUUUUCUUCCAUCAAUUAUUGAGUUGGGAAAAAGUGAGAAAUCCACGAAGGAAACUAGUGUGCUUGUUGAUAAGACAGUUAUAUGGAACCUAAAUACAAAUGCAUUAGACUUGCAUAAAUCUGAAGCUUCAAGGAGAUGUAUUCUAUUACUCUCAGUUAGGUCAAACUGAGGAGUGUUUGAAAUGAACAUCAGAAACUUUAAUAUGUUUGGGUAUAAUACUUACGGAAGUUCUUAUAAUAUUAGUGUUUAGCCAAAUUGGCAGAUCCACAGUUCCGUUGUACAUAGUUUGUCUUCCUUUUAUUCUCAUACUUUUACAAUCUUAUGCUUUGAUUAUGAGAAGGAUCAUUAUGCAUUUCAGUACCUGAGUGUAUCUUCCUUCUCAAAAUUUUACUUUGUUGAACUUUCUUGCGAAAAGGAUUAUUAUGUUUUUAAGCACUUGAGUGAAUUUAAGUUUAUUCAGGAAGAUAAAUUGAAAUCUACUCAAGGAAGAAAGGCAUCAGCUACUUGCAAAAAGCUUCUUUGAGAAGGGCUAGGAGAUUGAUGAAAAGAAAAGUGUAGGUAGAGAUGUACAUUUGGAUGAACAAUGGAAUUUUGCUAUACCUGUAAACAGCACUUUGUUAAGUAACUUCAAAAGUUGGCCCUAGUGAGAAAUUGAAGGCAACUGCCCAUUGACUGCCACUCUGCUAGGAAAUUGUCCUUUAUUUUUUCCAAUAAUUGUACUUCUAUUUGAAUUUAGAGAAGUAUUUUGUUGAAUCGGUAAUGCAGUGAACACAUGCUGUAGUUUCAUACCUUAUCACCAUUUUCCUGCUUGAAGAUUCACCAGUAUCAAUAAAAUUUAAGCAAUUAUCUCUCACUAAAUUGGUUUUGAGAUAAGGAUGUUGGGAUAGAUCAUGUAUUACCAAAUAAAAAUGGAACCAGAAAUGUUUACAUUUGCAAACAAUUAUGGGUGGCUCCUAGAAAAGAAUAAAAUGAGAUGAAUUUUAGGUGGUAUGUAAGUGCCAAAAAGAGACUUACAGAUGUACUAGUUAGAACAGACGAGCCAAUUAUGAUUCAUAGUGUAAAAAGAGAUAUAGAAGACCAAAGAAACAAUUUUUUUUAAAACAUUAGAAUAAAAAUAGGUCUAAUUGAUCUUGGUUGCAUAGCUGACCCAAAAGAGUUGGAAUAUUUCAGCUUGUUAUUUUCCUGUUGUUGUAAUCCGCACUUGAUUAAUGAUAUACUAGAACUUCUUCAAUUCUUGUCAUUUACUGUACACUUUGUAGUACAAAUUUUUUUUUUUACCGAAAAUUGACUAUCAACUGCUUGCUUAAUUGUUUCUGUCUUCUUUCCAAAUGGCUGUUUUGGUUUCCCAUAGCUGACUAUGGUCCUCGAGAUUUUAUUUUUUUGAGUGCAUCAGGAGAAGGGUCAACCAUUGCCCAAGUUUGGAGAGUGGGAUGUCAACAAUCCUGCCUCGGCUGAAGGUUUCACUGUUAUAUUUAACAAAGUUCGAGAUGAGAAGAAGACAGGUGGUAACUCGGGCACUCCGACAACACCAACGAGAAAAGAUGUAGGUAGUCUGCCGCCAGAUGACACCUACCAGCAUCCGAGAAAAACUGUAUGACCCUUUCUUAUCUUUUAGAACCUUUGCUGAAACAAAAGAAAAAACUCAUAACUGUGAUUUGAUCACAGAAGCUUCCACACCAAUUGGUAUCCAUGAUCAUGUUUGUUUCAACACAAACUAACCCGAAACACCCUGCGCUUUUGCUGCUUUCCUUGUUGUACUACACAAGCACACAAUUUCUUGGUUUACUAACCAGUUCAUUAAUUUGGUGCAGCGGAAGUGGUUUUGCUGUGGUUGAAUGCUGCUACUGGAAUGAUUAGUACUUGGUAAUCAUAGUUUGGGUUGUGAGGAUAAAGAAAGUUUGGUUUAAUGAUCAGAUCCUGUCAUAUGAAUAUUAUGGUAUCUGAUGGAUGAUCCGUCUGUAUCAAUAUUAUUUCGACAAAAAAAAGACAAUACAUGGAUGGAUAAUUAUUUUUCUUUCAGUUUUAGCUAAAUGGAUUGCUGGAAAGAGCAGUGUCUUGUUGUGUCUCUCAUUUUAUAUUUCUCUGUAGAUUUGCACAAACAACACAUUCCUUCAAAUUUUUAGAAACCUUCUUCACAUCUUUUAAGCAGCCUUUUGAAAGAAGCAUCAUAAAUAAAUCAAGUCAUGGAUUUGUCUCUGUUGACGCAUUCCAAUCAUUAAUGUACUGUUCUUGGGUUCAAAUCUACAUAUAAAUGUCAUCAUAUAUGUAGUGAUAUUUUCUUUUUCAUGGAAAUCAAAACAAAGGCAUAUCAAGUUUUAUUUCCAAAAUUAAAACAUAUAUAGUGAAUGAUACGGUAUAUUUUGGCCCAAGACACGUCAGAGUCCGACGCCAUCGGUCACAGUCAGAAUCCGUACUAGGACACUGUUCGACACGUCAUAUCUUGGGAAUCCCGAUGCAGAAACGCUCCCGAGACUCGUAAGUCAGAAUUUGUACCAAGGCACUGUUUGACAUGUCUACCACGCCAACCCGCGUACGAUCGACCCACGUGCAAUAUUAUAAAGACCUAUAGCAAGCAUCUGACAAGGUGGGGGAAAAAAAGAUCAAUUGAUCACUCCACUGACUUGCUCGUCAGAGGGGCAUCGUCGGGUGAUCCUGACGAGAGCUAUUUUUGUAAGAAAAUACGGCCAUCUCACAAAGGCGAGCUGCCAGUCACCCCGGAGAAGGAGAGACGUAGCUCGGCAUACAAGGAACGCUGAUCAAUACCCCGUCGCGAGGGCCCGGUCGACCUCGGCAUCCAGCCCACCCGACAGAAGACUCCCGACAUUGACCCGUGGACCAGGCCGUGCUGACUCACCAGCCACGGCACAUCUGUUCACCAACAAUGAAUAAAAUGAAAUCUAAAAAAAAAUUUAAGAACACAUCUCUAAAAAUAAAAAAAAUAAUGCAGGGAGAAAAUGUGGUUUAACUUUUGUUCAGGAAAUAAUAUAAGAAAAAAGACUUAUAAUUCUUCAAAAGGAUUAAUUACCAUAAAUUGAUCGGUAAGUUGUCAGCAACUCUGUAAAUAAGAAAAAUAAUAUUUUAUUAUAUUUUAAAAGAGAUUAUCACUAGUAAAAAGCGAAAAUGGCCAUUUGCGAAAAUGGACCGGCCUGGUUCAUAAGAGACUCCUCGACCGCUGCUGAGCCGUAAUAUCAACGGCUGAGACUACCUUAUUUUCAAUGGGUAACCCGAUCCGACCGUCCGUGUCCGCGAGCGCCGGAGGCGAUACGGUGGAGGCGAGCCAACAAAUAACAUAACAGUCUUUUACCUUUCCGUCGUCUUCUUCGUCUUCUUCUGCCUCUUCGCGGGCGGAUCCGAUCGAAAUCUCGCCCAGGGUUUCUUCCUCGAGAUUGAACAGAAGCGUCGAGUCGCGAGGCACCUUCAUUUCGUAAGCCUUCGUUCCAGUCGCCUACUAUUCGACGCUUUCGAUCCCUGCGGAUCUUGGUUAGGGUUAGGGUUAGGGUUUCGUUGUUCGGAGACUUACUUUUAAUCUUUUAUUAGGUUUCAGCGUAGAUUAGGGCUUAAAUAUUGGGCUUUUGCGCAGGAUUUGUUAGGGAUAGGACUUACGUUGAAAAUUUGAUUAGGUUUCAGCGUCGAGUUCUUUUGCUUCUUUCAUCUCUUCAACUUUCAAUCUUUUUUGGUAUAAAAUCGAGAAAGAUGAUUGUGUUCUGCUUCCUAAGUUUUCGAUUAUUCUGAGAAUUUGACCACUGAAAAAUGGAAGAAGAUGAUUGCUGAAAUCAGAGUCAUGAAUAUUUGCUGAAUUCUAAUUACUGAGAUCAGAGUCAUGCCAUCUCCCAGUUUGUCUUAGUUAAUACUGUAACUUAGUGAAGAGCAUGUUCAUUUUUAGUUCCUCUUUCCAUUGACAUUGUCGAUUAACUUGAUUUAAGUUGCAAUAGAUCACAGUGUGUUUCUAGGUUUACAGCUUGAACAUCUUUGUGAUUGCCGGCAGUUUUAUUAAGGGAGAAAAGGAAAAAAAAUGCUGGGUGGACUGUAUGGGGACCUUCCGCCUCCUUCUUCAGCAGCUGAUGAAGAGAAAAGCAGUAGUUCCACUGUUUGGUCGAGCAGCGCAAAGAUGGCGCCGGCCACAUUGCGAAAGCCGUCAUCUGUACUUACACCUCCUCAGUCCGUUUUGAAGAACCAGCAGUCGCAAAGCAAAGCUAAAAGCUCAAUUGCGUCACAAAUGAAGACUCUGAGUUCUUCUGCUCCACCACCAUCUUUACCAGAAAAUGGUACAAAAAGCUCAUCCUUUCAGCCAGCUCUUGUCGGGGUAACAUCAUCAGUGAUCGAGGAAUAUGAUCCUGCAAGACCAAAUGAUUAUGAAGAGUAUAGGAGAGAGAAGAAGAAAAGAGCUGCAGAGGCUGAAAUGAAGAGGGAGCUGGAGAGGAGGCGUCGCGAAGAGGAAGAAAGGGAGAGAGAGCGUGAAAGAAGGGAACGAGAAGCUGCAGAGAGAGAGGAUAAUGAUCAUCAAUCAAGGUCCUCAUCAUUGAGUAUUUCUGGUGAAGAAGCUUGGAGAAGACGUGCUGCCAUAAGCGGGGGAGUUGCUCCAAGGUCACCUUCGCCACCUCCAGGUGGGGAGGGGUUUAGCAUCGGAAAGUCAGGUUCGACUGGAUUGGGAAUUGGUGUUGGUGGGCAGAUGACUGCUGCACAGAGGAUGAUGGCAAAGAUGGGCUGGAAAGAAGGCCAGGGACUCGGCAAGCAGGAACAGGGAAUUACUACUCCACUGAUGGCCAAAAAGACUGACAGACGAGCUGGGGUGAUAGUUAAUGCCAGCGAGUCUAAACCAGAUAAGAAGCCUAAAAGUGUUAAUCUCAAUAGCUCACCGACUCGUGUUGUACUACUCCGGAACAUGGUAAGGGGGAUGUCUUUCUUGUUUUAUCACUGUGGUUUCAGAUUCAGCAAGUGUGUUGUUUUGCAUGCUAUUAUCUAAUCUAUUCUCAUGCUUUCUUGUACAUAUACAGUUUUCUCAGAUCAUAUGCCUGUUUAGGUGUUGCUGCAUUAACUUUUGAAUUUUGAUGUUGCAAUUGUUAACAUUAUGCUGCCAUAAGUUAUAUAAAUGGCAGUAGACAUGUGCUCGUAUUGCUCAAUGUGCAUGCCCAAGUGAAAGUUAAAUUGUUCUUUUUUGUCAUAUUUUGUGCUUUUCUAUAUCAUUUCAUGGGUUCUCGACUCCAAGUUCUUUCAAAUAGACAUGUAUUGUUUUUAGUAAGAUGUUGGCAGUGGUUAAUAAGUUAAAAUUCCUUUGUGCUUAUUAUUUUAGCUUGCAAAUUGUUAAUGUAACUUCUUCCGCUAGUGUUUUUUUUUGGUGGAUUGAUCUUUGAGGUUUAUCCUCUCUUAUGUGGUUUUAUUUGUACAAGAUUCAAUUACGAAAUUCUGGGUUUUAGGUUCAGGCUCAUGACACAAGGGAAUAUAUCUCACAUACAUAAGAUCAUUGAAUAAUCUUAGUUGUAAAGAAAAGAAAAGAUUGUUGAACAAUAUUGUUCUUAUAGGAAAGAAAGGACUCUUUCAUGGUUCUGUAUGCAUUAUACAGAUACAAACAACAAUGUUUAUCCUUUGUUCUUGUUGUCCUUGUCACUCUUUUUCAGUAUGCUUUUCUUUUCUUUUGCUUUCCCCUUCUCCUUUUCUUGCCUUCUCUCUCUCUCUGUUAUAUGUGUGUGAUCCAAUGUUUUUGGUGCAACUCACUUACUGGAGUAGCACAAGUACAGUCACUUUUUUCUCCUCCUUUGGGGUAUAUGGAGCCAUGUACAUUUCAAAGACACAAGCUAGUGAGCUGAUGAAAGAACCUGAAAGAUAUAUUAAUUGCAUAAGCGUUCGAAGGCUGUUGUACUGCUUUAGCCUCCAUUUGAAAUCCAGUUUGAAGUGUCAUAACUACUGCCUCUUGGAAUGCUGGGUGUUGGAUAUUAUUUGUCUACUCAGCCCUUGUCCUCAUAUAUCGCUGUAGAGAAACCUGUUGUCAAUCAUUCUGGAACAGGUACCUAACACCAUUUGAAAAUUGUUUCCGUUGUCCUAAAUCUUGGCCUGCUUCAUAGAAGGAACAUAAACAAUAAGAAAAUAGUAAUUUAAUGGAGGUGCUAAUAGACUGCUUUCUUACCAGGUUGGACCAGGAGAGGUGGAUGAUGAGCUUGAAGAUGAGGUUGCCUCCGAGUGCACCAAGUAUGGCACUGUGACACGUGUCUUGAUAUUCGAAAUCACCGAGGCCAACUUCCCAACUGAUGAAGCAGUCAGGAUCUUUGUGCAAUUUGAGAGAUCAGAGGAAGCGACAAAGGCAUUAAUUGACCUUGAUGGUCGCUUCUUUGGUGGAAGAGUAGUGCAUGCUUCAUUCUAUGAUGAGGAGAGAUUCGGAAACAACGAGCUGGCUCCAAUGCCUGGUGAGAUACCUGGUUACCCAUGAGAAGAUUAAACGCUGACCAAAUUGGGGAUCAAUGUAAACCUGUGUGAUUUUCUUUUUUGGUAGAAGCUGGAGUCUGAUUUCCCGCAUUGGAGCUGUGCCACUUGUUUGGCAAAAUUUAGGGAACUUUUGAUGCUGGCAACAAUAUUUAGGAACACAA
rnacentral:lncRNA from 1 species